rnacentral:lncRNA from 1 species
UAUGGUUUAGCUAGUUACUUGAGUAUUUUACUAGAGGAGCAACCUAUGGGUCGUGUCGAUUAGGAUUAACGGAGGUAUUGAGGGAUUGGUUACGUAUAGUGUUAUAUAUUGUUGAUGUCAUAUUGCAAAAAUUCUUCGUCAGCGGCCCUCCCCCAAACCCACACCUUGAAUGGGGUGUUGCUUCGACGACUUCUUGCGAGAACAAAAGCUUUUACCGUCCGAAGUUUUCUAACAAACCAAAUUAUGUUGCUUAUAUUACACCGAGACAUCGUGAAUUUCAAAGAUCCUCUCGAACUUCAACAACGACGUUAGUUGUAUCUUAUUGAUCUUCUAACUUUGGUACUUUUCCACUUUUCCAUCCUUCGUCAGAUAGAACUGUACGUUUCGUGUAUGGAACUUGGAACUGGGAUAACUACUUUUAAAACUUCUAAAACUACGUAGGAGCCUUUCGCCACCUUUAUCCGAACUUUGUUUCCUUGUAAAUCUUCGUGAGUCCUCACGGACUACAAGUCGAUGGUGUAUUAGAAAUAAGAACAGUUCCUUGUUGAGGCAGACUAUACAUUGGAUUACCUCUUUCAUCAGACGGAAAAUUUGUUUAGUUGUACUUCUCUAGAAAAAGUAGAUAUGGUGUCGUCUUAAGGACAUAUUGGCAGAUUGUUGUUUGUCAUGAGUGAUGGCUGACAGGGAUCACGUUCACCGUUUCCUGAACCACCAACUAUGGGCUCCACGGUUCAAGCUUAGGAUCAACUAAGUAUAAAGAUCGAUUUAAAUAAAGAUUUUUUUUAUUUGCUACGCCUAUUGUACGAUGGAAAGAGCGUUUUUUUUUUUUUUUUUUUUUUUGUUUAUCAUGGGUGAAAUAUUAAAAAACAAAUUUUGUUUUUGUAAAACGGAUUUACUUAGCGCAAUGAGACUUUGAUUCUUUUCACACAAAUAACAUUUUUUUGACAUAAAAACUCCUUGUACACCUUUUAGUAUAAAAUAUCCCUUCAUACACAUAUAUGUACUAAAGUCUCACAUUUUCAGGUAUUUUCUUUUGAUAUUUUUCCUUUACUCCUUCUCCACGUAUGUAGAGGACGUAUUACUCUUUAACAUUUCAGUCUCUCACUGUUGAAACCGAACGACUUCGCAAACACCAAGAAUUUUCAGACCAUGUCGAAGACUCGCUUACAAAGUACACAACUAGAACCGUCGUAUGAUGUAACGUCUAUUGUUUUUGUCGUGUUUUUAUGUUAGUUGAUUUAGUUAAUGUCUAAGAGACUUUGGCUAGGUAAUGAUAUUGACUUGUUUUCUUGUUUUGUUCUCGGUAGACAAUAGUAUCUGUUUUCGUAUGGUUCGGAGUAGCUCUUCUCGUUAUUAGGGUGGACCAAAGACCUUCUGUCACUUUGUUGGUGUUUCGUAAUUCUUCGUUAUACAAGUGUUUUAAUUAAUGUCACUUAAGUACAAAUUUAAUAGUCUUGUCUUUACAAGUGCGACCGUCCUGAGUUCCUUCCGAAACUACGCUUUUUGGUGUCCGCGCACUUUUCGGAAAAGAACUCGCGGUUAAUCGUGACCGUACUACGAAAAGAUUUGAUCGUCCAUUUUAGUUUUACAUAUCCUCGUCUUGUGAUAACUAAACAUGGUCGAUGUCGAUCAGAUACAGUUAACGUACAGUAUCAGUUAACAAUAUUAUCAUCAACGAUGUUCGUAUUUCCUUUGAUCGAAAAUUGGAUGAAAACUAAGUUGUUGACGGUGUUUUAUAAGUUGUAUUUCUUUCAGAACUGUACUAAUUUUAAAUGUAAGACGGUCUGAUCAUUGGUUCUGAAAUACUGUCAUGUUAGUAAUGGAACAAUUUCUGUAUUUCUGAGUUUAUACUUUUAAAGUGUAAAGUACAAAUAGACUAACAACCACACCACUAUCUUUGUAUGGAAGAGUUCCUCUAGUUCUUGUAGGACUAAUAGUUACUUAAGUUAUAUUGAGGUCAAUUAAAGAAGAAAACACAUAAGAAGAACGAGGUAGAAUUUUUGUACGACAUAUUCGCUCUGUUUAAUCUACCUCCUUAAAGAACAAGUCAUUAUUACUUCUUCUGUUCACCGUAAGCAUCAUCAUUAUUCAUUUUCAUUAGAUAAUCGUGGACUAAUUUUACAACGACGUCGAAAAGUAAACAGUUUAACUAUGUUUUAACGAGUUUCGACAGUUCUUUUCGUAUAAUCUAUAGAACUAAUCUUAAAUCUUUAUAUACAUUUUGUCGCAGUUUCUUAGUUUAUUUCUUUCUCGUUGAACAUAUUAUCCAUUGUUUAUCGUUGUUAAGUUUGUUAUGACGUGGUUAGGUCAGUAUUUUCGGGCUUUUUCGUUGAAUUCUCCCUUUGGAGCCUAAACGUCCUAUUGUGAAAGUACCUUAAAGGUCAAUAGUAUAACAGGGAGGUAUUUCACAGAUCCACUUCCUUAACUUUCGUACAGUUAGUUUAAUUCCUUGAUACUUUGAAAUCCUGGUUACUAGCCAGUCGGCUAUAAAUACACACCAAUUCAUCAAUCUUGAUACUUCGUGAACUACCUUGUUUGAUAGACAAAAUCUUCUUUUAUAAGUGUAAAACAUCACUAUUGGGUUUUCGUAUGGCCAAUUCGUGGACAAACAGAACUUUGAAAGUUUAGGUAUUUAUAGUUCGUGAGGUUAAUUCGUGAAGCUUAGUCCUAGAACUGGUUAUCUCAACAAUUAGAACAAGUGUUCGGACGUUAAUUCCCACAUCUCAUGUAUACGAUUUCGUUAUAUUUUAUAUUUGACCGACUUAUUCAAUUAAACUUCUAAGGUAACCGUGUAUGGUUAGUUUGUUUGCACUUAUAUGUUGAAAUCGAUCCCGUAGGGAUAAUUCUCGACGUCGAAGACCUAGGUUACAGAAAUAUUACAAGAGUAGUGCUCAAUGUUAUUAUGCGAAUGUAUCUCUCAGGAGGUCACGGAAGCGUAGUGUGGAUUCCUUUUAAAUUACUUCGAGGAAAGUUUUUGUAUACUAGGUUGUACUAUAAGUUAUGAUGCUAAUGUUAUCCUUCCCAUCAAAUGUACUUCUCAAGUCGUCGGUAAAAGUUCACUUUGGUACUGAAGAGUAGAAACCCGAAUCUGCUCAGUUAAAGUGAGGGUAGACUCUUAAGUUAUAAAGGAUUUACCUCUUAUCGUCGGUGUUGGGCUUUUUAACGUAGGAUUUACUUCUUUUAUAAUUGUGAAAAUUCCUCUUCUUUCGAUGAAAUCAUUAAUUAUUAUUGCGUGUUACCCAAAAAGAAAGGAGUUUUGUUUCGUGUUUUUUCUUUUUCCUUCUUGAACUUGGACAAGUAGACUCGACUAAGGUUAAUAUAGGUAUCGGGAGGAUCAAAGCUCUAUAAGGAACCUUAGUAGGUGGGGGAGGUCGAGUAUCGUCAAGCUAACCAAUUCUAUUACUUUACUGGAGCCUAAAGGAUUAAACAUAGAGAGUUAUAGGACUGUCUAAACAUAGAAUUUAAUCAGCUCCAAAAUCGUUGUAAUGUUUUAUUCACUAUUUUAUUUUUCUUGAAAGUCCUGAGCUUCUAACUUUUUCUCAUCCGUUUUUUCGGAGCAAUAUUUUAGGAUUACGGAAAAUAUAAGUUGGCAUUCUUGUAAAACAUAGUUUACAGGUGAUGAGUCUAAAGUACUAGAAUUAACAUCAACAGUUCUUCCACAGUUAGAUUAUAAUUCAGUCGACUUAUAGGUUCUUAGAGUAUACUAUGAAUAGCAGAUAGGUUAAAAUUAAAGUACGAUUUUUAGUCUAAGACAAUCUCUUCGUAUCGACAAUUCCUGUCAUUUCAACCCUAAUAUUUGAGUUUUAAUCAUUAGGAUUCUUUUUUAGAAAACAAUUGUAGUAUAUAUAGGAUUCGUCCUUAAGUUAUUUCUUUAGUCUCAAGAUUGGAGGCCACCUCGUCGUGUGUCGUACAUCUUCGUUACUAUUAAGGAGAGCCCUAGUCUAUAAACUGUGUGAGCUCUAGAAAGUUCGUCCAUUCAAGACUAACGGCGUGGGCUUUAGGAAGGGAAUGUUAGCUUGACUUAGAGUUGUUUAAACGGUUUCGCCGAUAUAUAUCGUUGUUGUGUUUCCAUCUACAACUUAGUCAAUGUCUGUAUACAAGUCACAUUUGAAGUCGGUUGUUCUUUUUCUAUUUAAUCCCAGUGAAGGGUUGGAUCUUAAUAAUAAAGACUGUCAGAAGCGUAACGGUUUACGAAGUUCUUGUCCUAACCUGACGUUUUUUAUUAUUUUUUAUUUUGAUUAUAUUCCUUGUUCUUUACCUAUCGUCUAUUAUAUUAAUUCCUAUUGUUUCACUAAAGUUGUGACAGAGUGGACGUCUUGAACGACAAGGUGUCACGCCGGGAGCCGUCGUCGAAAGGGAGGGUACAUACGUUCUAUUGCGUAUUCGUAAAACCACGAAAGCCAAAAUGGACGAGGUGAAAGAGGUGAAUGUUCUUAUCGAACUGAAUAAGGAAGUAAAUAGUAGUCAGACGUAGUACCUUAUGUUACUGUAAAAGAAAAAAAAUAAGGAAAAAACCUUUAAUAUCCGUGAAAUCAAGGUAACUUCAUACAGAUCUUUCCAUAAUCUUCUAUGGAUAUGCGUCGUAGACGUUGUCGUUUUCCCACUCCUGAAUCGAGUGGUUUUCGUCGGGGAAACAUAACACGGUAGUACACCGACAGUAUCUCUACUCCAUUAGAAGCUUUACCUAAGUGGCGCUAGUUCUAUAAAGGUCACAUUCAGAUCUUUACCUCUUCUAUUUUGUCUUACCCGUUUUCUUUUUUCUAUAUCUAUAAACAACUUCUUAUACUAAAUAUAGUAUUAUAUUUCCGAAUUCCGAUAUGCAUCCUUUUAUAUCUGUUCGCCGUCUCAAUUUUCUACCCUUUAGUAAAAAUGAAAAGCCAGUUGUGAAUGUAUUUAAAGUAAGUAUAGUAUAGAUCUAGAGUCCAAAACGUCUUGUGGUCCAAGCACGUUUAUUCGCUCGAAACAGUACAGUAGUUGGGGUGUACCACGCCGAAGUCCUAGGAAUCCUACUUACGACCUUUAAAAUCGGCACUGGACGUCAUUUUCGUGUUUGAUAAUUAGGAACUAAUAGGUCGAACCCAUAAAACUUGAAAUAUGUUCUUGUAUAUAUUCUUAAACAAAACUAAGAAUACAUAUGUUCGAUAACAACGGUGUUAAGGGUGUCUACAUAUCUUAUCGUUUAUCAGACGGUAGGUGGUCGUCUAGGUUAGCUUGUCUUAAACUCAAAGUUUUUUUUUUAUUACUUUUUGUAUACGUGGUGUUUUGUUCCAGAUUCGUAUACUAACCGUAUAGCUUUAGUUGAGGCGUCGAUUGACCGUUCUUUACGGGUUAUUGGAUUUACGGUAUUCUUGUUUUUCAUUCAUUAUCAUGAGUGACAAAAGGGUCUUCAUGUAAGUUAGAAUUAUAGUAGUGGUAACUGGAGGUUAUUAAGAGGUAGCUAGGUACGGUGUAGUCCUAGGAGGUGGGUUUGGACUCGAGGGUGACAUUGUAACCGAUGUCAUCGGACAUUUGGUUUUAACAAAAUGUUGUGUUAGUGUUGGUGUAGUUAAUGACUUUUUUGUCGGCUUAGUUAACUUCGUGCAUAUUUCAAGAGUUUACUGAUGUAAUCAGCUAUCAGCUAUGACGUAUAAAGUUCAACUUACCUCACAUAUUCGUACUCUUAUUGCGGCUUUGAAAUUCUUAGGGAUGUAACAGCUUUAGAUUCAUUCUUUAUCCACCUAUAAUUCUGCUAACGUAUGGUAAGGUCUAGGGCUUCACCAUCCUAUUAACUUUUCGUGGAGCUAGCCGGAGGAUGUGUGGGGGAGGAUUUGGGAUCUUUUAGUUUACUCUCUUGGGUUUUUUUAGCGCUUUUUUUUUUUCUUUUUAAUGAUCUAGGUUAGAGGAGGAUAGCUAAUUAGGGAAUACAUGUUUUUCGGCUAAGGAGAGGAGAAAGAUGCCAAAAGCGAUGAGAGAGAGAUCGAUUAAGGCGCUUAUCGGAGGUGUAUUGGAGGUACCCUAGAUUCCGUGGUUGCGAAUCCUAAUUGUGUUUCUAGAGAGAGAGGAGGGAGAGGAGAGGAGGGAGACGAAUUCUAGCCGCUUAGGUUAACUUCCCUAGCUCCUCUCUGUUUUUACCGCUGUUCCAAGCUCUCUCUUUUGGGAAAGCGGAGGGUUUAGGGAAAAGGAGGCGGCGAGAGGCUAGGGAGAGAGAGAGAGAGGGAGAGAGCGAGGGAGGGGAAAGCGAGAGGAAAGAGAGAGAUAAUGGAAAGUGUACUUUGUCGAUGCAUUUUGCUGCUGCAAAACAAAAUAAAGAUAAAAAGAUUUUAAACAAAGAAAAAAAGACAAAAAGAGACAAAUGUCCUUGCCACUUACGCCAAUAAUGUUUUUCCGGGGGCUACUAAGGUUGUUAAGGGUGGGCGCGGGGAGUGAAGUUGCAACUUCGUAGCCCAAAUCGUGCGAAUUAGAAGCCCGGGCCCCUAAUUAGUGCUCCAAAACCCAGGAAUUGUGCUGACCAUCAACCACAGCGAGCCACUCUGGUUAAUUAAAUUAAAUUAAAUCCAAUCUCACCCCAUAGUUUCAUAGUUAAAACCAACUAAUUUGGGAACGAGUACAAAAUGCGUCGUGUUAUAUAAUCGGUAAAAUAGCUUUUGAAAUCUAUGAGCGCUUCAUUAAACAAAUUAUUUUAUUCAAUUGGUUCAAUAUAAUAAACUAAUACAUAAUAAAUUUUUUUUUAUGAAAAAUGAUACUGUUCACAAUAUCUAAAAAGAUUAAAAAUUUAAAUAAAACAAGGUUUAUUAACGUCCAUUCUCUUUCUUUUUUUUUUUUCUUUUUUCCUUCUCGAUCCACCAAGAGCUUUCAUCAGCAUCUAAAAUAGUAUCUUUAACAUUAUAAAAAAUAAUUAAAUAAUAAUUAAUUGAAAAAAAAAAACUUUAAACCUACUCACCUAGGUCUAGUUUGCUCGCAGCAUAUAUAUACUAGGGUACCCAGGUAUUACCUGAACACCAGGAACCUAUGGUAACGUUCAGGGAGUUAUUUAGUGAAAAAGACUGAGCCAGUUAACUGAGCUCGGUAUAUUAACGAGUUAAGCUUAGGUUUCUCGAGAGAGAAUGAGGAAAAUGAGUAAAUAAUAAAUCGGUGAUCAAUCCCUAAUCUUUGGAAUUAAUCUUUAAUUACUGGUAUCUAGUCCCCCGGAAAUAAAUGCUUUAAAUGGGAACGGAACGAUUUUAUUAUUACUCGUGGAAGAUCAUUAUACCUGGCGCACUAAUUUUUACCUGCCGGGAGACGUGAAGCACCCGAUCCGGGUUAGAGAUCCAAUAUGCCUAGGCUAAUGAUCCGGGUUAAUUAAGUUGGGUUCUUCCAGUAACACCAUUAAAUGUUUUAUUAAACACCUCAUUAAUAAUCGGCGGGUUUUUCAAAGUUUUAGGCUGCCGGUUUUAACCGAGGUUAGACUAAGCUUUACCAAUGUCCAAGGCUUGAAAAUAAUACUGGGUAAAUUCUAGCCUGCCGAUUUUAGCGGAGCACUUUGGUGGCUGCCUGUACUACCUCCCCCGGGCGCUCAUCAAUGCAAUGCGGGAGCGGCCCCCUUUCACCGCCACGCGGGCUCUCUAAGGGUUUCGCUUAGUGCUCUUGCAGCAAUGGAGCAAAGGAGUGCUCAGCUUUUUGUUUGCCUGCCUAGGCCACGUCAAAGUCAGGGCACCCAAGCAAGCACCGGCAACCUAGAAUCCGAGGCCAAGCACACUAGUAUUAUACCGAUCUCAAAUAGUCGAAUUGCUCGAAUAAUCUCGACUCAAACCUUAAUCGUCUUAGCCUAGGUCUUGAACUGGUCGUUAAAGACGACGAUUAACUCUAGGUCAUAAACCGUUACGGCAGCCGGACGAGCAGAAGCUGAAAUUGUACAACUUCUGCGCAUGUUUGCCACGCUCGUCUUCGUAACUCAAGACCGAGUUUACUGGUCUCGAGCCGCCAAGGUGUGUGAUUGAUUAUGAGUCUCUUCUAGGUAGACUUGACAGCAGCCUAACCAAUUAAAAAAUCAAGUCUAAACGGAAGAUGAUCUUCUUUAGUGUAUAUCGUUGUUUUACAUCUACUUGCUUCACUUUAACUUACUGUAACUUGGCCGUCUCCUUUUUAAUCUUAAUAAAGUGAGACUUUUAUUUUUAUUAUAGAUACACAUAGUCUAUAACUACACAGGAAUUAACCGCGCGUUGUAAAUUUUUUCGGGUGCACGUUCCAAUCACCUGAACCAUCUCUUAUCAUGUUGAUCUUACUUGUUAUCCGUUACAAAUACUAGUAAUAGUUUUAUAGUUAAAUUGUCAUAUGCAUUAACGUCGUUUCUUAAUUAAUAAUGAAUCCAUUAGCCACUCAACAAUUUAUCCUUGGAGUAUAUAAUCUUAAAGUUAAAACCCUGUGUUUUUAAAUGAAAAAAAUAGUCUAUUUAAAAUUUUUUACACAGACACUUUAUCCGUCCUUGAGUAAUAGGUGUACGGGGAAGGGAUCAUUUAGGUUGGAAAAAUAUAAAAGAUUGCAUGAUGACGAAAUUUAAAACCAUGAAGUAAUGUCUUCAUUUUAGCAAACCAAAGCAUAUUUUUUUCUUGAGAAAUACCGUUGUUCGUGUGCCGUAAAUUAAUCUGUUAUUGAUUCCGAAUCUGAUUGUUAUUUCGUGGGCUUUGAGCUGUGUAUGUCUACGGCUCUUUAUUGGUUUUCUCACUACUGGACAUUGUACAAAUCAGGGGCUUUUUUGUUUUUAGGAUUAACAUGGUAAAUAAAUUAAGACAGUGCGCAAGGUUCCAGUUACGUUGAUCUGCGACGUGCUCUUUCGAUCAAAAAGGUGGUUAACGGACUCGGGUCACAUAAGUAUGUACAGCUACUAAUCAUAAAAUUUAGUUCCAAAUUAUAUAGCCUACAAUGUUUCUUUACAUAGUAAAUUUGUAGUUUGACCAAAUUUUAUAUAUAUAUAUAUAUAUAUAUAUAUAUAUAUAUAUAUAUAUUUUCUUUUGUAACAAGUUUAGUAUAUACGUAUGCAGUACUUUGUGUAUAUUAUUUAUUAUUUAGUUUUCAAAUUAAAAUUUCGAGAUAUUGUGCUUAUACCUCGUGCCACGGAACAUGGACAAAAGAGACCGCAUAUUGUUGACGUCAAUGGACUUUUGAAAUGUCUUUCGUUACAAUCCGAAAAUACCGGGACUGUCACCUAGUUUCGCGUGACGUACUCUAAAUGUUGUAACCGGGUCUCAGACGAUGCGGGGUUGAGUUACCGGGUCGUCAUUAACACAUUUCACAUUAUCUAAUACUCUAAGUUAAUGUCCAUUGACUUAGACUCAUUUGUCCAAUUGUACAAGUUCGGAUAGGCAUCUCUUUAAGGGUUUCUUUAGAAGUACGGUUUUAAAUUACACCUUUUUUAACGACUCGCAUGAAAUAGAUCUGAAUCGACAAGAUCGUGGAUGAUCUGUAAUGUAGGUAGUCUUGGCACGUUUUAAUUUAACGAUUUCACCACAAAUGUAACUACGUCUAGGUGUCACGCUGGUUAGGUUACUUAUGAAAAUAAAUUCACUUUGUCAUGGUAUUCUGUUCCUUUUACGGUAGUCCUACUAUCCAUUAUCGGCUAAUGGCAUUCCGUAAGAUUUUUUACAUUUAUGGUUGUGUUCGUUGACUUUACACGGCCACCUUCACUCGUGAGACAGUUUGGAGGACAUAUUACUGUUGUGUUUAAAAUACUUUUUCCCUUUUGCUCAAUUUGUCAUUUUUAAAUCGCUUCCUCACAUCGUUUAAUGUACAAAGGAAGAGUGGCGAGCAUGGUGGUUUACUAUUGAAUUAGGUAUGUUAAGAGGAGUGAAUAAGUUCUUUAUUUCCCCAGAAAGUCUUUUACCCCAUAACUUUCCCGUCAGUUCGAGACGAACUUGAGCUCCUUAAAGAGGUUCGUCGUCAUUAAAGGCGUUGUCAAUUCCUUUCUUUUGUUAUAUACGUUGAUUUUCUAACAUUCGCUCUAGACUCUAGAAGCACGACUUAAAAGUCUUGAGCCACCCAUAAGAAAGUGACUAACAUCUCGGCUUUCGGCCGGGUGGAAAAGACAUCGUCCAUUCCUUGAGGUGACCCAUCGGGAAGUCGAACACGCCGUGUUAUGGGUCUAGCGAUUUACAAUCUCGACGUACCAAUGUCUGUUGAGUACCACUCUCUCUCUCUCUCUCUCUCUCUCUCUCUCUCUCUCUCUCUCUCUCUCUACCUACAAUUAUAUACAUCCAUUUCAAAAUUUCUCCGGGAGUUGGUAUCCUUUAAAACUUAUCUGGGAGAAUGUAAAAAAAAAAAUUUUUAAAACUAACUGUUAGGCAGUUGAAAACGAACAAAACUAAAUACAGAUAAUCAAAUUACCCCGAAGUCAAUUUAAAUUACCAAGAUAGCCGAAAAGUCGUUGACUUUGAUGACUAUGGUUAAUAGAUACCGUCGAUCGAUUGUUUGAACAAUUACAAGUGUCUUAGAGGUCAAUCUAACUACCUUUAUUAAGUUUGGUUUUGUUUAUUUUCAACUUAACCACAGUUAUAUUUGUUCCCGUAACAAACCCCAGAUAAAGUUUUACUGGAGAUCAACCCCCUAGAUGUGAGUGUAAAUUUAUGCCUACUAGAUUGUCUCAUAUGAAUGGUAAAAGUCUGUGAUGUCAUAGAUGCCACUCACGUAAUUAGACUAGGUCCAACUUAUAAAGACCUAAACCGUUUCCUUUACCAUGAAAGAAGUUUUCCUCGAGAGAUCCUCUACGUUAACGGACGUUUAGGUCUGUGUUUAAUCGAUUAUCGUAAAUGAAUUAACCAUUUCAAAGGAACUUGACAACGUCUUACAACCACUUGUCACUAUAAGUUUCUGAAUUUACAUCUAACAAUUGAAUUACUCUUUAAUACAUAGUUCACCGUUCAUUAUAGAGGUUCUAUCUCUCCUUCAUCCUCCCCGUAAUAGUGUUAUUGUUACUAUUGUUAGUUGUUGGGUACUAUGUUUCAUAGUUGUAUCCUUUGCAUAUUAUAAAGGUUCUACUUGAUCGUUUAAAAGUCACUUUCUUUUAUUACACAAGAAUGGGAACGUUAUCCCUUUCCUUGGAAGUGUAUAGCACCGGUAAGAGCAUAGUGCAGUUUGUAAUUAAGUCGGACGUUCUAUGGUUCAAAGUCACGGCCGAGUUGUGAAUGUAUUUUCCUCAGUUUAGAUAUUGGUUGUUUGAAAUAAGGCAAAUAGUUUAAAGUACUAAGCUUACAGUGUAUAAACAACGCAAGAGCAAUGUACAUUUGGUAAGUACGCAAACAUUUUAAAUUCACUAAUGUGUUAUGAAUGGUCAACUACGUGUCACUUUUGGAGUCCAGGUGGUUCGAGUAUAUGGAAGGGGUACGAACAUGGUAGUAGAAAAUUCCGUCGAUAUUACCGUCGUCGUUGUAGAUGAUGUAUUUGACCAACUUAGGACACUCGUAUUAAAGUCGUUUUACUUUGAAUCGUUCAAUACCUAUCAGAUUAAUUAUGAAAUAAUUAGGACUCAAUUUCAAGUAUGAAACAUCUUGGUAGGGGGUACUCGCCCUCCUUCGAGGUAAAGAAACGUUUCGCACGGGUAGAUAAGUUUUAGGCUAGAAGACAUGGUUAGUAUUGAGGCCCGAAGUAUUGGCACCGGAUUGUUAUCACUUAGAAAUGUAAUCAGUAUCUAUUUUUCAACUAAUAUGGAAACUGGACCAAAGGGAUCAAGAGAGAGUGGAUAUCUUCGAAUUCUUCGGAGUAUUUUAUUUGGUACAGCUUAGUGUCAAUUCCAGCGACGCUUAAUACAUUGUAAUAGAUCGGUCAGAAUCUAAAUACCAUGUGUUAUGGCUUUUCAUUACCUUUUUAGUAGUAUUCAGAGUACUUCGAAUAAAAUAACUCUUUUUAUUACAAUAACGUAUCACUCAACGCUAAUCGUGUAUACGUUGGUUUUAUGAUUUUCUUGUUGUUGGUCAGUACAUACUCGUUAACUGUAGUUACUCGUAGGAUAAUAUACGCUAUAUACUUUUAGUCCCUCAAAACCUCAGUAAGUAUUUGAUUUAAUCGUCAAGAUUUUCGUUAUAAGGAACUUAGUAAGUAACUGAGUGACUUGAAAAAACUAGCUCACCGUUGGAUAAUCCUUUGGUUUUUAUUAUGGGGAAGAGUGAGAGUGGUUAGUCAAUAGUUAGUAACUAUAGGGUUAGUGAUAUAUAGUUUUUAUUACCAACGAACUUGGAACUAUGUUUAGUUUUAGUAACUUCUAAAUUACGCGUGGAGUUUUCCAUCAUUCAAUCUAGUCCAUCCUUUUUUUCUUCUUUACUUCCAUUAGGAUAGAGUGUAUAAGGAUAUUUUGUUACUGUACUUGUUCAAGUAUACGAAGUGUCGAUACGUUUGAAUUACUUUCACAUACUAGCGGUUAUGGUCAUUUCUUAGCGUAUUAUGUUCUACGGCUGGAGUCCUUUGAGGUAAUCAUGUCGAAGGAGACGAAGUCGGAAACGGGAGUUGUAAGAGCUUCCUCUACUCCUUCUACGGGGAUUCGUUCUAUGAACUUAUUUAGAGUACUAUGGCGGUACAAGAAAUCGUUAGACAUGUUGUACAAUUUUUUUGGAAGUAUGUAGGAGAUCCUUAUUCUCUCCUUUUCCAACAAAGUCGUAGUAGUUAUAGUACGGUUAAAUUAUUCGUUUUUCCAGUGUUAUACAAAUUCAAACUUUUUCUAUCACGGUAAUUGCCCAAUCGUUUCUCUUUUGUUGCGACGGUUUUUUUAGUUUCAGGUAUGUUUUCAUAAUUUAUAUAUAACUUUGCGUGUCUUACCCUUGACUCAUCGGUGUAAAGUCUUACUCAGUAUAUAGGUAGUUUCUUAUUUAUACUUGAAGAAAGUAACACAUACACGAUUGUUUACAUCGCUUGGUCACUUGUUGUAGAAAUGGUCCAAUUUGUAUUAAAAGUCAACUAAUUAGUCAAUUAAUUUUAUACAGAAAUCUAUCGUGGGACAUCUUUCCUUGUCUUGAUCGAAAUACGACGGUCGGUUUUCUAUGUAUGUAAAAGACUUUUCGUUUAAGGUACAUUUGACCUCUACAUUGUUUAUUUUUCCAACACUAUUUCCACGUGAAUAAUUAUUCGUUUUAACGACUUACUUUUUCCAUAGAAAAACAUACCAAUUGAGUUUUAAGUUAAGGUUUAUAAUUGGAUUAGUAAAGAAAAGGCGGAUCACAAAAACUUGAUACGUAAAUAUAUAGUUUCAGUUAUCUUGAAGUGGUUGAAACUUCGAAGUAAGGAGAUUAGUCUAACGUCAUUAAAUAUCAUCAAACAAUAUAAACAAACACCUUCUCGAAAUUUCGAGGUCAUCAUUUAGUACAAAUAUUUGAAAGUUAGACGUAUGGUGACGUUCAACGAGUCGGUACAGUGCCAAGUGAAGAAGUUUCGACAUCAAAGAACAAAGUAUAAGGAAGGGACGGUAGAGUCUUUUGUUGUUGGUAAAUUAAACAUAGGCGGUCCUACAUAUCUAAUACAUAUUUUCAUUUAUGUUUGGUUACUCCAAAUUGUGGUGUAAACUGAACCGGUAAUGUCGAAAUUAACUUAAAAGUAGGGAACCUAAUAUAAAGUAUCCUUGUUAGACUCUCGUGUUUUUAGUUCUCUCUUGGUUUCAAUAUGAGAACUCGUUUCUUUUCUAAAAUUCUUUUAUGUCUAAUAAACUAGUUUUUUAUUUAGUUCGUAAAAAAUGGGGAUCAAAAUAUGGACUGGGUCUAGUGGGUAGUUAAACUCCACAGCCACUCUUAGGAGUCUAGGAGCUUUUCCUUGUUCAUGAACUCAUGGGUAAAAUCGACGUAUAUUUAUGUAUUUCUAUUUAAAGUUUAUACCUUACUACUUUCAGGUAGUAGAACUUGUCGUGAUCUUAUACUUUAUAUAUUUCCAUCAUAAAACUCAACUUUGUUCAGGUUGUACAGUUGAAGAUCUUAGUUCUAUAAACAUCGAAUAAGUAUUAAUUAGUUUGUAGGUAAGUUGAUUAGUAUAUUGACUUGUAAAGUGUUAGUAUUUGCAACCAGAUAGUUAGUUUAGUGAUGGGUUUUUCAUUCGUAGAGGCCUUGAAUGGUUCGACAACCUGUUGUAUUGCUGGUUCUUUUGGACAUCGAGGUUUUUGUCAACGUUGCUAAGGUGACGUCCUUGGUAGUACUUUAAGAUCACUCUAUUGGUAUAAUUACGUAUGUUUCCGAUGUCAUCUACAUGGCUUUAUUCAAGGUUUUCUCUUUUAAAGGUCGAAAGCUUACGUUAUUAGUUGUUUGAUUGUUUAGGCUUGGUUUUACUUGUUAAAACUGCAGUUGUGGAUUGUAGACUAGAAUCUUUAACGUUGGGUGGCCAAACAUAGCUGAUUUAGAUUCCUUUACUGUGGCUUACCUUUUUCUUAGUUAGUUAGGUGGUUAGUCUCUCCUUUAAUUAGGGGUUUUUUCUUGUGGUUUCCCGUAUUACAUGGAGUGUCUACUAGAAGGUGGGCACGGGAAAGCAUCCUAUACGGGGCAAGGGAACUGGCUUUACCAGCUGUGUAUCGCUCCCACUAGCUGAGGUGUGAGACACCAGUAUUUAGUAGCAGUAUUGGUGUUUUAUGCCAUUUGAAUCUCCAGCUUCUCUCAUUUGGCUAGCUUCUAAACUACUCUUGUCGUUUAUCUUAACCUCGAAAUUGUUCUAGCCUACUCCAGUGACUUUGGGAUCUUUGCUCUAACCCUUCUCCUCUAUGGUGAUCUCCUCUCACCCAUCUAGCUAGACUCGCUUCGCUCUCGCUCGCUAACGAGGUUAUCUGGGGCUCUCCUCGCGGAGGUGCAACGGACGUAGCAAGGAAACGCUCUCUCUCUCUCUCUCUAGGUGCUUCGCUUCAUCUUCGCACCUUCGACACCUGCGUCUCCCCCCCCCCCCCCCCCCCCCCCCCCCCCCCCCCCCCCCCCCCCUUCUCUGCUCGGUGUAGCCAAGUACCCGAAAGGAUCCAAGCCGGGUCGGGUCACUUACUCUCGUUUAUAAGUAUCGGGCAAAUAAAGAGUUGGUUAACUGACGUGGUCCACGUAGUCAAACAGUCACGUGCCGCAAGAUAGUUGGCAGGUAGGGUUGAUUUUAAGUAGAAAUAGGUCGCCGAGUGACGCAUUGCCGACGUGGCCCACGUCGUUUUUAUAGAUCCGUAGUCGAGGAUGACCAGAGAGAAAAAAAAAAAAACUCUUUUUCCAUCGUGCGAUGGGCGAAGUAAGUAAUCCUUAUACUUGAUCCGAUGUCCCCACUCCGUCGAUUCCGGAGACCCCCCCCCCCCCUUUUUUUUUUUUUUUUUUGGUGUCUAAUUAACCAAUUACUACCCGGCUACUCAAUUACCAAUUACUACCCGGCUACUCAAUUACCCGGUUUUUUUUUCCAUCGUGCGACCGUGCGACGACCAGAAUUAACCAAUUACUACCCGGCUACUAAAUUACCCGAAUUGUACCCCUUUGACCGGGUCGGGUCAUUUUGGUUGAUACCGGGUAUAGGAACGUUGGAGUACAUUGUGGGGUUUAAUAGCACACACGGUGUAUUAGACGUUAGAAAUUUAUGUCACUAUCAUUCUAAUCUAUCAAAGUCUCUCUUUAUUACUUUAUGAUCGCAUCAUUGGUUGUGUUACGCCGCCUAUCUAUUAAUGCUUUUCUUAAUUUUUGUAGUUGCUUUUUUUUUUUGUCACUAUUGUUUUUAUUACUAUUCUUUAUUCUAAGUAGAACGUAUACUUGCUUCUAUUGUCGGCUUUCUUCUCUUUUUUUUUCCUGAAUUCGACCAGGUGUAAAUUAUUACCAGUAUACUGUUGAAAUCUUCUUUAUUAUAUAUCUAUAUCUAUAUCUAUAUUUACAUAUUUUCCACUUACUAAUGGGCUAAACAACUAUAGGCUGAAUUUUUCUGAACUUAAGCUUGGCCCAUAUCUAAAAGUCUAGGCUUUAACUCUAAAUGUUAGAUUUUGGCUGUUCACACAAGGGGAUCCCGGACAAGGUGGACAGGGGAGAACCCUAGAUAGUAUCGGUAUAAGAGGUGGGAAGGUUAAUACGGUUUCAACUAAAGUAUACGGUUAAGGAUUGAAAACGCAGUGAUUUCCCGAAAAAUAAUUACUUUAUAAUGGAUUAGUAAGAAAGAAACUUGUCUUACAGGUAAGGCUUUGUAUAGAAAUAAAGUAGAGUUUGUGGAAUGAACAAGGGGUGAUACUGUCGUAUGUAAUAUUACCAAAGUAAAAAAUUUUGGAGAAAUAACUCCGUUCGAGCCAUGUAUAAGAGAAGUUAUAAGGGAGAAGUAGCGAAAUGUUCAUAUUACGAACAAAAAUUGACAACUCAUAUUUAUAAUUCCUAUUAUCAAAAAUUAUAAAAAAUUUUUUUAUUAAAAAAAUUACCAACAAAAUAUAUUAAAUUAUAUCAUAGUUUUAUCCUCUAGGAUUCAAACUCAAGGCGGAUGAGGUUCACAAUAAAUUAAAAGAGAGUACAUUAAGUUCGGAUGCAAAAUACAAUUAAUUUUUCAAAACUCGAGUCUGCAUUCUCACUCGUAAUUUAUAUUUAUGAUUUUUGUGGCGAGAAAAUUUUGAAUUCGACAGUCUUUUAUUAUAAAUAAAGUAUAAAGUAUAUUAAAUUGCAAUUGAUAUAAAAGGAAGAAAGUAAUUAAAUAAUUAAGGAAAAUAUGGUCUUACCCAUUAUUGGAUAUUCGUUCUUCGACUUUUCCUUAAUUAAAUAAACAAGUUGAACCGAAAAUAAGGUACGAAUGUUCAACGUUGUUACAACAUUAUUUUACCAUACCAAUUUUUUUUAUUUUUCAUUUUAUUUCACUUGUAUACCGUAUAUUAUACGAUUAUUAUCUUACCGCAACAGCAAACCAACUGUACGUUGUUUUUAUAUAUCAGCUGUCACACCAGAUAGAUUAACCUAUACAGUUUCCUGUUAUAGAGUCUUAUCUAGGGUUCAUAGUCAAAAUUAUUAUCAUAUAUAUAUAUAUGUACGUCCCGUAAAAGAAAAACAAAUCAAUUAAUUUUUUUUCAACUCUAUCGGUUUCUAAGUCUCUCAUUAUUUAAUCGUUUCCUACCUGGUGUCAGGUGUUUCUAUGUUCGUUGGAUAUAUACAUCGAAAAAACACACACAUAUGCACAACGAAAAUCCAUCCUUGGUUGUCCCGGUUUAUCAAACUCCGUUUGCUUAUCCAAACUCGUAGAAAUCGGACCUGAGAAUCCACGUUAAACAGAGACAGUUGACAUGAUUAUAAAGGACUAACUUUUUAUAUAAUAUUUUAUCUCGUAUAUAUACAUUUCUAAUAAGGUACAUUUGAAGUUUUUUUUUUUUUAGAUUUAGUAUGCAGUAGAACAGAAUUUUAAAUAUUUGAGAACAUUACUGUAUUAUAACCAGAAAAAUUAUUUCCCACAGCCUAAGCGUGAGAAAAAACAUCACAUGCGACAUGUUCAUUUCGACGAAAUAUAUAUAAAUUAAACUUUUAAAAAUGUUUACUUUCUCCUCUUUCUGGUAAUACAGCGAUUAAUAAAAACGACGAGUCCUUUCUUAUUUCCAUAAAACCGGAACUUAUUGAGACUUCAAAUGGCUGGAAAGGAUCUCGUUCACCGUUUCCUGAACCACCAACCAUGGGCUCUGGGUUCAAGCUUAGGAUCAACUAAGUGUAAAGAUCGAUUUAAAUAAAGAUUUACUUUAUUUGCUUCGUCCACCGCACAAUGGAUAGAGAGAGUUUUUUUUUUUUGAGACUUCAAAAUGAAAUGUAAAUUUUUAAAAUACCUAGCCAUAAGUUCUACUAGGUUCUAACGUUCAAUUUAACAUCCCAAAUUUUUUUACCGUUUUAACUACUAAGCCGGUUAUUUGACAACUUUACAAGAUCUAAAUGCGGCUAAUCGGUUAAAAGAAGAAAAUUCAUGAAAUUUCUCUAUUAUGUAUAUAUUAAAAAAGAGUGUAAAAAGAGGUUGUACCCAUAGUCUAUUUUUUUAUUUAAUUCGGAGAGUGAGCUUUACCCCCCUACCAUCAUUUUGAGUGCGGUCGCUCUCAAGGUCGAUCUAUAUCACAUCAUCAUAGCAUCUUUUACGGUGGAAUUAACUUGAAUUUGUCGAAGAAGAUCUUCGUGAAUUAAAGGGUGGGUGACUAAAUUAACUCUAAAAUAUAACAUUUACGAUUAUAAAAAUAUGAUCACAUUGGCGGGUGACUAAAGUAACUCUAAAAUAUAACAUUUAUUCACGAUUAUAAAAAUAUGAUCACAUUAUUUUAAAGACAAAUCUUAAUAUAUUUCUAAAAAAAAAAUAGAAUGAUUAAUUUACUUUAACGAAAGAUUUACGUGGUGGGUCAAGACAAUGAACUUUUCCAAAGGUGUACAUUGAAUAACACCACAAACGGCUGCCUUUCUUUCAAAUCGAGCGGGGUAGUGAAAACUUUUACAGUGCAACUUGGAGCGAAAAUUUCAGGUUUUUUUUUUUAAUAUUUAUAUAUAUAGUUGUUUGAAUAAAAUAUAAUUAAUUUUAAAAACGUUCACAAUUGAGGGAUCCAUAAAAUAUUUAUUGAUCACAUCUUUGAGCGAGCUACAUCGUCUAUAUUAAUAUAAACUAAUUUAAAUUAUUAUAUUUUUUAUGAAAUUUUAAAAAUCUUAUCUUAAUAUUAAGUUACUUUUAGUUGCUUGUCUAUUUUUUUUAUUAUCCUUUUUUCUUUAAACAAUGUAUUUUUAAUCUGGAAAAACAUGGGAAUAAAUCCCAUAAGAUAUGAUUGUGUCUGGUAAAGCAUUUUAUAGUGUCACGGAAGUUGAGAAAAAGUCAUUUAGAUAUAGAAUCGGCUAUGAAGAGCAGGAGGCUCUGGUAAUCUCCUCUCUCUAUGUGUGGUAAACAUAUUUGAUAUGUAAUGUUUAAAUUUAUCAGCUUUAGCUUUCUCCUCCCAACCCCCGUUCCCAACCUCAAGCUGAGUAGGCUGCAACUACCGCUCCCGCUCCCGCUCCCGUCGCACGGACACCCGAACACCAACCUCGCCUGCAUUAUACGUUCCAGCAACAGCUCCUGCAGCAUACGACACGGGUGUCCGAAGAGCCCGUUGCGAAGAAUCUUUUAUUUUUGAUUAUUUCGCCUUUUAGCUUUGUUGCUACAAUAUCUCUUUCUUAAUUACUCUGUCCUUCGGUUUCUCCGUAUGCCAUACUUUUUCAUUGACUAUUCUGCCUUUCGGCUUCUCUGUCUGCAACUUCUGUUCGCCAGCGUUACUAAUCUCUCAACUUUAUAACUCUAACUCUCUGAUAUAAACCACGACGGUGCACCAUUUUUAAAUAUUUUUUAUUACAUAUAUUAUAUUAUUAUUAUUAUAUUUUAUCUAUAUCUAUAUAUCUAUAUCUAUAUCCAUGUCUAUAUUUACACGUACGUAAGAUUUAUGAUUGUAUUAAAGUAGUUGUUUUUAUGUUCUACAUAUAUAUAUUAAUUAUAACGUGCCUAGUGACAUGUGACAAAAAUAAAAAAAAUGAAUCCUUAAUUCACAAACCAAAAGGUUUUUUCUUUUUUUUUAGUGUAUUUAUAAAAAAAUCAUGUAUUUAAAAUUUAAAAGUCAUUUUUUUUAAAUUUUAUUUAAAACAAAAGACCUUUUUUUUAAAUAACAAAUCUUUUUUUUUUCAUUCAUUUUUCCUUAUUAUUAAUUUAAUCGUUUAUUACGCGAGAUAGAUUAAUGCACGUUUAAUUCACCCCGGUCGCUUGUCGGUCAAUGCAAGAUGAUGAGAUGAAAUGAGAGAAGGGUAACUGAGAGGCAGCAGCAGCAAAAGAAGCAGAAGGAGGAGAAGGGAAGAUCAUAGGAUGUGGUUUGGAUAUAUGCAGAAGGAGGAGAAUAAUAAAGUUGUGUUGGGUUGGGUUAGGAAGGAGAGAGAGAGAGAGAGAGAGAGAGAGAGAGAGAGAGAGAGAGAGAGAGACACUGAUUGGCUAGCUUCGGUAGUAUAGUACCGACGUCCGCUGUCGGGGUUGUUGUUCUCGCCCGUCUGCCUGCCGCCGCUCCGAGGAGGACGACGACGACGACGAACAAGACGCCACGGCCGCCGCCUCACCCUCGCCGACCCGACCCUGGACUGCCUCGAAUAGGACACGGCAGACGGCGAGGCCAGCGACCAGGCGCGCCCGCGGCAGACGGCCGUCACCGCGCGGCAGCAGCGGGCGACGGGAGGAAGCUGCACCUCAUCAUCAGCAGCAGCAGACGGGACCGAGAAGCAGAAGCGGGUGGUGUUGGAGCAGGGGGCGGAGUCGUCGCGGAAGCGGAUGCUGGGGAGGCUGCUGCUCAGGCGCACCUAGGGGGAGGGGCGGGGGAGCCGCGGCGAGGGGCUGAGGAAGAGGCCGAGGCCCCCGAAGAGGAAGAGGAAGGAGAGGAGGAGGGGGAGGGCGGAGAGGGAGAGGGGAGAGGAGGCGGGGGUCUGGUGGAAGGAGAGGGGAGGGGAGCGGAAGGGGGCGAGGUUGGGGGAGCAGCAGAGGCAGGAGUCGAGGCCGGUGCUUUCCGGGUCGCAGCAGCAGCAGCCCCCGCGCGCCCAGCAGCCGCCUGAGCAGCUGUAGCUCCUAGCCGAGGGGCAGCUCUAGAUGCUCCGGCCCCUGCUGCGCACCCUCGAGCCGGGGGGAGAGGGGCGGCUCAAGGCGGGCCCCACGAGGAGGGUCACCGAGAGGCGGCGCGAGGAGGGGCCGGCGCCGGAGGAGAAGCAGGAGCGGUGGAUGAGGCCGCACGAGAGGCGGAAGCUGGAGCGGGCGCCGCGGACCUGGGCGGGGGCGGGCGAGGCGGGGGCGCGCGGGCCUGGCGGCGGCGAGAAGCGGAAGGAGCGGCGGCGCGCGCCCGCGGAGCAGGAGCGCCCCGAGGCGUCGCCCGGGCUGAUGCCGGGGCGGGUCAAGCGCCAAACCCGGCACCUGCUGCGGCGGUACCUCACGCUCCUCCAGCCCCGGUACGGCCGCCUCGAGGAGCGCACCGAGAAGCUGCCGCUCCCGCGGCGGCGGCGGCGGCGGCUGCUGCUGCUGCUGUCCAAGCGCUCGGAGUUCACGCGGCCCCAGCUGCCCCAGCACAUGCACAAGUUGCUCCUGGCGGUGUCCCCGAAGGGGCGCACGCACACGCUCUAGAGGCUCCUGCUGCUGCGGGGGCCACCCAACUCCACGCGCACCUCCUUCCACGGCGGGGAGGGGCGCGGGCACCUGGGCAAGGUGUUCCAGUAGCGGAAAACGAGGGGCCACGGGCACGUGGGCCAGGAGCGGGGGGCCCCUGGACAGCAUGCCAUCUCAUUUGGAAGCCAUCUUUAAACGUGAACCUAGGGAGUUGUUGGCACAGGAAGACUUUGUCUAGGAAACGAAACGGAAAAGCAAUACAUGCGCGAAGAGAAAAACUGAAAAAAAUUUGAAUAAAACUAAGCUUACUAAAAGAUUUAACUUAGUUUGUUAAUACAUGAAACAAACAUAAUUCACUAAACCUUUUAUAUUCGAUCAUAGAGGGAGGGUAAUGUCACCGUGACACCGUCAAUAAUCAAUCGUAAGUAGUGUACUACACUCAAUUGUGUCUAAUAAGUUGUCCCCGUUGUUUGUAGUUUAUUCUGUUCUGUUACGUCACCAGGAACAUUGUCGCUAAACUACAUUUACAUACAUACAUUCCAUUUAUUAUAUAUUUUUAAUCCUUUUUUAAAUUUAUACAGAUACAUAUGAGAAAAAAAAACGAAUAGGAGAGAUUAUUCUAUAUAUCUUUUUUUUAGAAGUCUAUGAAAUAUAUGCACCAGAUAAUUUAUAAAUAAAAUUAUAAAAUAUUAAAUGUUUUAAAAAUAAAAUCAUUAUACAUCAAAAUCGGAAAAACAAUUAAAUUAUUUUUUUAAUUGUUUCUUUUAUUGUUUUUCUCUUUUUUAUUUUAGUAUAAUACCAUAAUUAAUUUCACUUAUUCACUAUGUCAAAUUUAGUAUUCGAUGAUCUUAAUCUUUUGCGACUUGGUACCUACCAUAAACUUCAAAAAAAAAUUUAGAUGAGAUUUGAAAAUCAACCAACUCUGUAUGAAAAAAAUUUUUGAAAAUUUUGAAGAUUAAAAUAAUCGAUUUAGAAGUUUUAAUAAAUAAAAUACUGAAAUUUAAAUAAAAAUACAGACCUUGUAGAUGUAUAUAGAUAAGAUAUAAAAAGUAUCCACAAAAAUAAAAAUUCUUAAUUUACCAAUUCUACGUAAUUUUUUAUGUGAUACUUACUUAUCUAUUGACUACAUGUCUAUAAAUUUACGUGAUCUACCUCUGUUAAUAAAAAGUAAAUAACUUGAUUUAUUUCACUGUUUACAUAUUAUUUGUUUUAAAUUUUAGAACCUGUUCUCAAAGGUUUACUAAACUUCAGGAACGAUUUCGAAAUAUACAAAAUACUUGUUUUAUUUUAUUACUUCACGUUAUAUACACGUAAAAAGAUGAGCACUGUAAUUUAUAUCAUAACUUCAAAUUAUAAUUUUAUUUUUACUUUUGUAUAUCUUAAAAAGACUUGAUGCUUGAUAAAAUAAUCGAUUUAGAAGUUUUGAUAAAUAAAAUACUGAAAUUUAAAUAAAAAUACAGAUGAUGUAGAUGGAUAUAGAUAAGAUAUAAAAAGUAGCCACAAGACUAGAUAAACCAACAAGUUGACGAAUUAAUCGUUAUUAAAAAAUAAAAAUUCUUAAUUUACCAAUUCUACGUAAUUUUUUAUGUGAUACUUACUUAUCUAUUGACUACAUGUCUAUAAAUUUACGCGAUCUACCUCUGUUAUUAUAAAAGUAUAUAAUUUGAUUUAUUUCACUUGUUUACAUGUUAUUUGUUUUAAAAUUUUAGAACCUGUUUGCAAAGGUUUAGAAAGAAGAAAAAAAAAAAAUGAUAGAUUGUAAAAAUAUACAAUCUAAACUUAGUCAAUUAUUAUGAAACUGAAAGUUUAAACUUAUAUAGUAAAUCAAAAUGUCUAAAUUAAUCAUAAAGUAUAUUAAAAAUGUUGAUUUAAAUAAUUUAUUUAUUAAUCGAAUUUAUAGUAGUUAACGAAAAAAUAAAAAAUAAUAUGUUAAAUAUAGAUUCAUUAAUUAUAAUAUUUUAAUUUUAAAUAUAAAUUAUGUACGUUAUAUUUGAUAAAUUUUUAUGUAUAUAUAAAAUUUAAAAAUAUUAGUCUCUCUUUUUAAUCUAAUUUAAAAAAAAUUUUUUAGGUGAAGAAUUUUAAUUAUUUUUUUAUUUUAUUUUAUUUCCGUAUUUUUCCCUACCCGGGUGGGUGGGUCGAAGGGCGACUCGGGAGAGGCGGUACAUGUUUCUUUGACUCGAAAGUAAUACAAAUUAUCUAAUUAUCUACAUACCUAUAAAUUUACGUAACCUACCUCUGUUAUUAAAAAGCAUAUAAUUUGAUUUAUCUCGCUUUUUUUUCGUAUUAUUUGUUUUAAAAUUUUAGAACCUGUGCGCAAAAGUUUACUAACUUCAGGAACGCUUUCGAAAUAUACAAAAUACUUGUUUUAUUUUAGUACUUUACGUUAUACACGCGUAAAAAGAUGAACACUGUAAUGAAUGAUACAUAAAGAGUUUUUUUUUUCUGUAAUGAAUGAUACAAUGGAAAAGAAGAAAACAAUUAAGCUGUACUGCAGGCUGACCUAUACUAUAGAUUGGACAGUUAAUUAGUAAUAAUGAAACGAAACAUAAUGUUUUGACCAAUUAAUUAGUCGUAAUAAAAGAUCUUUUAGUUUGUAAGUGUUCAAAUCAUAAUCAAGUCAUACGUUUUUUAUUAUUAGCAAACGUAUUUACGCUGUGGUACUAUCUUUGCAUGUAUUAAUUAUUUAGUUAAAGUGAUAAAAAGUAUAAAAAGUCAAAUUAAUAGCCUAACUAAACAGUAAAUACAAUAAAAAAAGCAGUAGAUAAAAUAGAGUGAAUCGUAUCAAAUUAUACGUACGUCAAGAUUAGUCUCAUAAUAUACAAAAGUAUUGAAUAAUCCAUAUCAACCUAUUGCACCACUAAUUUUCGUACUAAAAAUAUAAAAUUUUAGGAAUAAUUAAAAAAAGAAAAGAUAUGAUGUUUGAAUACCAAUAUAUAGAUGAUGGCUUCUUUUGUAUAUUGAUGUUUGAAAAGACCAUCACAAACGUUAUUAUCAAAAUUGCAUAAUCUUUUCUUUUUCAAUAUUCGCGAAACAUAAUCAAAUCAAAAAAUUCAAAUUUUUAUCAUAAAAAUAAGUGCCGUAAUAGGUUUACUAACUACCUUAGUUGUUUAGAAAACGUAAGUUCAAGAUUAAUAAGACAUUUAUGCCUACCUACGCCUGUGUAUCUUUUACGGUAAGAAGACUCCAUCGUUUUAGUUAGGACACCUUCUGAACCCAAGGUCCUUACAUUAGCGCUCUAGCUCUUCUUUUUCUUCGUCUUAGAAGACUACGUUAAAAUGUAGUGUCGUCACUUUGGAUCUGGAUCUUUUACUCCUAAGUACGUGGGUGGUAUUUUCAACUUUCCGUGUGAAUUAUGCUACGAAUAGGUGAGGGUGAUUGUGGUUUCGUAGUUUCAAGGGUGUUAAAGUUGCGGGGGUUGAUGGUGGUGCACCCGAAAAUGUAUAGCAGGCAAUGGACGUAGGAGCCUCCGGGUGCACACGAUAGUUUUUGUGGGCCGGGUUUUAUGGUUCUAGUUACAACUAGGGGAAUGAAAAAAAAAAGAAAAAAAAAAAGAAAAAGAAAAAAACAGAGGAAAAUUUUUCUGUAUAGAAUUUUUUUUAUUUUAUUUUAUUUUCAACGACCUCCUAUUUCACCACCACCAUAAUACUUAGGGCUCCGGGUCUCACGUGAGCUGCUCCUGAAUAGGGACCCUCCCACACUUACCUAUAUGCACAGAAACAAUCCCAGAAACAGCCCUAUACCACACUAGUUUGAGAUGGAACCGAGCCACCUAUGGCCCAUCAUUAUGGCUGGCAGGGGUUGCGUUCACCGUUUUACCGUUUUCCUGAACUACUAACCAUAGGCUUUGGGUUCAAGCUUAAGAGCAACUAAGUAUAAAGGUCGAUUCAAAUAAAGAUUUACUUUAUUUGCUUCGCCCCUCGUAUGAUAGAAAGAGAGUUUUUUUCUAUGGCCUAUCAUUAUCGAGGAGUUAUUUUCGUUGCUAUCCACCCGCACACUACCGAAAGUACACAUAAAUGUAAUGUUAAAAUAUCUUUAAGAAAACGUGUGACGAUUGCAUUAUGAACAGAUUGUUAGGCAGUUUUGAAGUUACAGGUCGACUUCGAUCUCUCGUUAGUUACACUAUUAACAGGUUUUCAACCUCUCACUAGAUAGUACGUGAAUUUUCCUCCACUUUCCUAUCUAUUGUACAGCCAUCGAAUUCACGCUUUAUAAACAUGUACACUCUAGCAUCUUUUACAUACUAGAACGAUUGUCUGUGUUACCUUGAUAGCACUUUCUCUCACGUUUACGACUAAAUUAAUCUCAUCAACCCAACAAUAUGUACAGAGCUUAAAAAUACGACUUUCGAAAAGGUUGCAACAAUACAAAAUGUGUUAUACAAUUUAAUCUUUAUAAGGAUUAAAUUUAGAUAAAAAAUAAGUCGACAAAACAGACUACCUACCCUCUCUCAUACUAACUAACAUGAAAUAGGUGUAGUGCCCACAAUUAAUCAAUGUCAUAAUGUACUAGUAAGUAAGCUUUUAUUGUUUUAGGUUUAGAAGUUAGGUAAUUAACUGUUACUGGUAAGAGAAAUUAGGCCAGUGUGCUUGUCCGGUCUUUUCGAGUUAAGUUGUUUUAAAGAUUCUUUAAACUAGUUGUUUCAUUAAUUAAACUUGGGUUUAAUUACUUAAUUUGGAGCGUUUUAAAUUCAAGGCAUUUAAUUUCAAUGCUUGAGUCGUUCAUUAAUUGUUUUGGGUCUUUUAAUACAAAGCGCGCGUGUUGGACUGCAUUUAAAUAUGUGCCCACCGCGGGGUUGCUCUUGGGUUGGGCUUGACCAAAGCACGAGCGCUCACGUACCAUGCAUAGUGCUCGGAUGCUGGUGCUCCUUAACUAACCAGUACUAAUUAAUUGAGCAGCGAGAUAAAGUCGCGCUUAUGUAUCAAUAUAAUUAAUGGGUGCGGUUGGGCUUAGUCCGUAAUUAAUGCCGUUAAGUGACUCACUCUAAUCUUGUUUAAUAAGAGAGAGGAAUUAAAAGUUUUAUUUUUCUUUUAUAACCCGCUUUGAUUGAAUAAGUCAGGUAUUGGGUUUGGGGUAUGAUACAGUUUCUGUAUACGUAUGUGUUUCAUAACAUGUAUACAUGUGUGGUGCAUGCAUGCAUGCAUGCGGCGGAAAGGGAAGGAUUAAACAUGUACAUGCCGAUCGACGUACGCGUGAAAACAAACAAAUUAAGCAACCGCGUGCGUGUUGAUGACGAUCGAAUCGAUCCCCCCCAACCACGUACGUACCGAAAUCCUCGUGGUCCUCUCGACGUCGCGCAGCUUCGAGUACUCCAGCGCUAGGUCGAGCCACAGCGUCUUAGGUUGCAGCAACUUGUCGCCGUGGAGGACCUUGGGGAGGUCGGGCUUCAGGAGGCGGAACCCCUCGGAGCAGUGCAUCAGCAGCUUUAGCAGCUCGGGACGUAGCUGAGGCGUCUUUUUCGGCCCGCUGAGCUAGGGAGGGGGCCCCUGCCACCUCAGCGAACAUCAUCAUCAACACCACCACCACCACCACCACCACCACCACCUCAGUCGCCUCGCGCCGCCCCUCAUCCAGCCCCACCUCCCCGUCUCCUCCCACAACCCAACCACUAACCCCGAUCAUGAUCAAUCGACGCCCCCCAACCCCACCAACUCCAACUCCAACUCCGCCCGCGUCAGCGGCAUCUCCAACGCCCGCCGCCUCAGCAUCCGGACCCGCCGGAGCUCCCGCCACAACUUCCACGGCUCGGUCUCCGCUCGCGGCGCCAACCCGAGCGCCUAGAGCCGGUGGGUGAAGGGGGUGCACGCGACGGCGUGGGGCGCCAUCCCUGUGACGACCAAGAGGCCCGGGGGGAAGGGGAAGUACGUGGGGAAGGCGCUGGCGGCGUCGCCCGUCGUAAAGAAGACGACGACGACGACGAGGCUGGGGACGUACUAGGGGAUGCUUGUGGUGCGGACUAAUGGGUUAAGACAUUUACUAUUAAGCUUGCGUCUUUUAUUUUCAUUCUCCACCCGGGGAAAAUAUAUAUAAACGUGCCUCUCCUCCUGCUCCUCCUCCCUCACACUUAUGCUUACGCUUCCGGAACACCUACCCCAUUUCUACAUUCCUCCCAACCACCAGUUUAUUAAUUCGAUCGCCCUCACCUCUAGUAAGUAUCUAGUCCUCUCUCGGGGAGUUUCUUCCAAAGCCGCCGAAGCUGUGCUGUGGUUCUCCCUCCCACAGCACUAGGCUCGGCCCCCUCCCCACCGUCACCCGGUGUGCAGGCCUUCCCCACCCGAGGUGCUCCGCGUGUUCCUACACGGUGCACCGCCCUUCCCGCCUCAGGUCCUCCCAAGGCGCACCCCUGCACCUCCCUUACGCUCCCCGAACGUUCGACUGUGGCACUUGGCCAAAUGGCCCACCACUACUACCUAGCUUACUGAAGUGUAAAAGACUACCUAACGCGCUGUAGCUUUCGUCCUAACAAAAAAACUGCCGGCCUUGGCUGCGAUCGACGAGCUGUACAUCCUCACAUUACCGUCCCAAGCCCACGGGGGAGCGGGACGUUAGCUGUGCACUUAGAAUACGUAGCAAUAGGCAAAGACCUAUAGAUAAUAAGGGAAAAUCUCUUUGAGACGUGACCCACUUGUGUUUUCUCCAUACCACUCAGAUGUUAGUGGCAGGUAGCGACUAGGCUGGCAGGCCGGUGUUACGUUCUGAGCACAGGAGGUUGGCAAUAGGUCAAAGCAGAUUUUCUACUUACCGGUUUAACACCUCGCAGGUAUUUAAAGGGCGCAUGAACACUCGCAUAUAUGUUCCACUGGCGUAGAGUUAAACUUCUAUGAUUAGGGUGGUUUUAAAGUCUUAGCUGGAAACCUAGUCGUCAAAUCGUUGUAACUUGUUUUCGUAAACAAUUCUCUGCUUAACUCUCCUCUAGCCUUUGUUAUCUCUGACAUCAAAUAAUGUUCAUGUUCUCUAUGAGGGUUUUCACGUGGCUCUUCACUUUAAUAAAUAUGUUCGAUUUAUAAAAUGGAGAGCGUUUUGUUAACCGGUCAUUUUUUUACCUCUCCUAGUCGGUGUACGCAUAAGUGCAACUGUCUGUUGUUGAUGUCAAGAGUGGUUUAUGACUUUCGUUUCAUUGACGUGAUGGGCUUUUAGGUAAGUUUUCAGCUGUUCUAUGCUAGUACUUAUACACUUCUAUGGUUUAAUUGAUCGUAGUCAACCCCUUUAUGGUUGGAAAAUUACCCCUAAAUUAGAUUCAGUCUCGUAGUAUAGUUACGCGGGCAGGAGUAAUAUUGAAAGGUGUUAAAAGAACCGUAUGCUGCCCUACACGGAUAGUCGAGACGAUCUUUAUCUCAAGCUGUACUCUGUUUACUCUAUAACCGUUCAAAGUCUAUUACAUGAACAUUCUUCUCAAAGUAUGGAGACAAAUGGGGUUACGGCUAAAUGUAUCUCCAUUAAGGAAUAACACACCAUUAGAUUUCUUAUCGCUGGCUUGAGGUCUGGAAAACCUGGUUAGACCUCUUCCAGUGAGCGACAAUCGAAUUUGUCGUACGUCGUAAAUGUUCAAAUACGUAUUAUUCUCUCUAAUCAUGGUUCAAAUCAUCUUUACGAUAUUACAACGGCUAUUUGGAACCUCGACCGACUCUUCCUGGAAAAGGACUAUUAAAUUCUCUAUAGUUAUAGUACGUGUUUAUAAAAUCAAAGAGAAAGUAAUUCAACUGUUUACAACCUUUAAGUUGAAGUAAAAUAUGGCUUUGUUGUUGAAAAUGGCGUGUAUGGUUCAAAACGUCGUAGCAGACGAAAUUGACAGAGGUACUGCUUUCCGGCAGAUAAUGGGACUUAUGUUUACGGUGUCAAGUUAACCGCUUGUCGAUAAAAAAGGGGUCUCGUCUUUUAUUCAAACUAUAAUACUCGUUUUAGUGGAUGUAACGAAUGACAUCCUCACUAAAGAUUCUCCAAGAGUUGUUCUGAUUCGUAGAGGGAAGGUGCAAGCAAGGACGCAAGUUUCAAAUGUACAGAACUCCUCCAUUAUACGUAAGUCGGUUUAUACGUUCGAUUGGUCUCAUUAGUAUGCCUUAGGAAAACUAUAGUGUACCUGGUGUUACAAUUAUUCCUCUAUUUUUUACAUGAAUGGACUGACAUUAUAUGACACCCACGAGACAGUACCGAUUAGGUCUCAUAAAACCGUGUGGGUAUAUGGGUUGGUGAUUCAGGACGUCAAAAUCUGUCUGAGUGAUCUUACUCUUAGGUUAAACAACAAAAAGUGAUUUUAUUCUGACAAUUACUUUCUCUUUUUUGGUAAACGCUCAACGUAAGUAUUUAUUAUUAAAAGUGGGCUCUUCAUUGUUUGAGUGGCGGUUACGUAAACACAUUAGUUUCGUCGACGUGCUACUUUGUUCCUUACUUCAGUCAUCUCUGUUGUCAGAACGAACUUCACAAACAGUUAGUAAAUAUCUAUUCCUUUAUAAGAUGCUAUCUUAAAGGCAACGCUCGUUUGUUCAACUUUUUUCCUUUAAAUAAAGUCGAAUCGUAAAAGGUGAAUGUUCAUGGACAUUGUCCUACCCCGUUAUUGUAGUUGAUCAAGAGAACGGCCGUCUGUUUUUAUCCCUUGGACGAAGUUAUUCUUUACUAAAUGUAUUUAUUAUUAUUAUUAUUAUUAUUAUUAUUUUCUUCUCUUUUUCUAUAUUUUCCUCUCUCUCUCUCUCCCUCUCUCUCUCUCUCUCUCUCUCUCUCCAAAUUUCGAACGAACUUUGUAGGUUCCGUGACCUUAUUGUUUUAUCUUCGUGAGAUGGAGAAGCUAUACGGGUAGGUUUACGAAAUACACUUGGACCAUCUAUGAAAGAUAAUAAGUGGCAUAUCAUAUUAUUUUUCCUUAGUAUUGUCAUUUAUAGAAUUGUCUAUUGUCUAAUUUUCCGGUCAUUCCCUCUAUGCGGUAUCGUUUUCCACCGACGGUAUAAAUCUUUUAAUUGUCACUUCGUUAUAUAAUUUUGACAAUCCUUCCACGUUACACGUUUGGAACAUUAGAACGUAUUUAAGCAUUACGUUUUGUCAAAGACCUAAUGACGAACGCCGGAAGUUCUUGAACAGAUUAGGGAGUGCCCAAGGUAACAGGUGAUUCUUCUGUUCCGGUUAUUCUCAUUUUUAAAAGUUGAAAUUGACGAAUUUUUCGUUUUUUAAAGAGGGUUUUGGGAUACCUAUCUAGUUUUAAUGUUUUUAUGUUCUGUUAGCUAAUGGUGUUAAUCAAGGAUCGUGUAUUUCGAACAGGUCCGGAUCCAUGAAGAGUUGACUAGAGUUACGACGUCAAUUGUUUAGUGAGACGUAAAGUUAUCACCACCCAAUAUUGUUUCGUUUGUAGAUGUUUUUAUUUUUUAUUGUCUUUCUAUCUGUUAUGGAACGUGAACCGUUGGUUGUGGUGUCUUUUCUUCUGCGAAAUGUGGCCGACGGACAGUAGUUUCUUCUUUAAUAUAUAUGACACAUGUAGAAAAGACUAGAUGUAAUAGAAUACUUAUCUUAUGUAUGGUAAUCUUAAAUAGUUGAAUGGAGUUGAUCCCGUUCACAUAGUUCUAAUCCUCUGUUACAACCGAAUUGUGGAAAACGACGUUAUUAAAGGAGACCCCAGGAUGCUCGUAGUCAAACUUUUUAAUAACUUGUACGGUCUCGUAGCGGUUUUACCGACACACACUGGUUAUUUUCAUGAAUUAUAUUUUCAGACGUUAGCAAAAUAUAUCAAUAAUUAAUUCAUAGUGUUGUCAAGUAGAGUCCUCUACAGACCCUAAAGUUGCCAUGGAGCGAUUUUGUCCAGAACCCCGUUCAGACAGUAAACCUAGUGACGUAAUAAAUGUCUUUCAUAAUGGAGUUUCAUCUGAUUCUUGAUAUUUUUGUAUUUUACUCUUUAAAUCCGUAGUAAACCGAUGUCAAUACGUAAAAUUGAUCUUAAGAUACGUUUGACUUACGUAGUCACUUACCUGAAAGUGUAGGGAAAAUAACAACCAGUGGAACGCUGUACGGUUCGAACCUGUGUUUUGUCACGGAGGAAACCCCUUUUUUUCUUCGUUUUUUCUUUAUAUGCUAACUUAAAAAGAAACGGAGCCGAUUUGUUUUGGUGAAUUAGGCGGUAGACGGUCGUGUAAGUAAACGUAUUUAAACACAGAUAUUUUGUUUCGUUUUGCAUUCACGCUGGUUUGUUCCUGCAUCUAUAAACUAGGCACUAGACGUAGUACGAUGGAGACUUGUGUUUAGUGUCGAAGCUGGUAUAGACGGAAGUUGUAAAGAUGGCGUUAACACCAAUGUUAAGGACAGGUGACUCGAGGAUGUACGUUCUCUUGGUAGUACUGUUAACUUCACCGUUAUGUCACUUAAUCGUUACUACCUUCUUUUCCGUAGUAGUCCACUAGAUUUCAUUUGAUGAAUUUAUUCUUUAGUGCUUUAACAUAGUCAUGGAAAGUGUCCAAAAUAGAAAAACCGUAUGUUGUUGAAAAGUACUUGUGGCUUCAUGUAAAGUAGUCGCAAACACAAAGAGAGAGAAGGUACCUGGUACCCGAGGUUUCGGAUUUUUGUGUAUAACGAAGAUUUAAACCGUCACUAAGGUUCUUCCAUACUCUGGUUUUUCGUCUGUAUAUUCCUGAUGAGUAGAGUUAGGAGCCUAGUGUUCACUACUAUAAAUUUUUUAUUUAAUUCUCUGUUCUUAUUUUUGAGAGUUUUGUAUUAAAUCUACGUGAAAUUAUGGAUCUAAAACUUCUAAUUUAACGAGUUAUUUAUUGAAUUGCUCUAGACAAUCACGUUGGUCAGUUGUGAUUGUAUGCCCACCAUUUCCAUUCUUUACAAGACUUACCUAAUAUUCAAUAUUGUAAGAUUGUGAGAGGUUUUCUUUUUUUUUUUGGGAGAAAGGUUACACUUAAUACUUCGGUAUCUUAACGAUGGCUACAAUUAUAACUAACGUCUCUAACGAAUAAUACGUUUUUAAACUAGUAACUAGUAAUUCAGGGAGUGACGUAAAUAAACCAGGACAAAGAGGAAUGACAAGUGUUGUAACGAAGAACAGGAAAUUUGAGGAGUAUAUUAUUUUGGUUAAGGUGUAGUUAUUCGGUGGUCGUAGAUGUUAGUUAGACGAAAGUUACAAGCAAUGUCUACAAAAAGUAGUCGAAUGAAAGAGAACAUACAAUACCGCGAAGGAUUCUUUGGAACAGGAGUUACUCCUUAUUCAUCUUCGAUAUGUGAUUAUGGCUGUUUUCGUCGUUUCGUAAAAGGAAUGCACGGAACAAUUAAAGAGAGACUUCUAAGUAAAUUGUAAGUUUGUUGAAGGUCUAUUCUUUCUUUGUCCUUUAGGUCAAGUCUUUAAGUGGAGUUAGGAGCUGUAAGGCAGAGGCUCCUUUCGUGUGCGCAAGAAGUGCACCCGCUACAUCAUUCAUAGCGUAUCGGGUGUUGCUGAUUGUUUAGGUGGUGUGUGUAGUUGGCUAGCUCUUUUUCUCUUCCGUAGUUUAGUUCGUCACUUUCUCCGGGCUUCCUUCUCUAGUUUUAUUAUUCGAGUGGACGUUACCAGGAAACGCCCUAUUUGGGGUGGUCCUCCUUAGCCGAACCUAGCGAAGGAGGUUAGGAGAGAAUCGAAGUGGCUUAAGCAGCUAAAGAGAUACCUAUACUGGCUAUCCCAAACCCUUGUUCCUCUAGCUAUUCUCGAGCUUUUCCUUACCCUUUAACUACCCCUAAUGAGCUAGAAGCAUGGAACCCUUCCCCUACCCCUCCUUCUCCUCCUCCUCCUCCUCGCAUACCACUUCCCCUCCUGCUUCCUCCUCGUGCUUCGGCGCCACCGGUACCGCCCACGCCGCCUCCACGUGUCUCCCCUCUGCUGCGGCUUCGCUCUCGAGCUUGCUCACCUGCCCCACUCUCGAACUGCUACGACCUCUUACCUCUAUAACGGCGACUUUAUACCCGCGCUAAAAUUGAUUAAUAAAUUAAUUAAUUAAGGCAAAUAAACUGAAUAGCCCAGCCCCAAAUUAACUGAGCUGGGCACUAUACACAUCUAGGCUUAACUUGGGCGAAGGCACUAACCCGGCACCUGGCUUAUACAUUUGUAUCCUUCUAUACCAGGGUUGUGCCGGGGUUUGGACUUCUCAUUGGGCCGGGCAAAAAUGAAUGAGUACUUUAUGUUAACUUUUAAGUAAAGAUUUCUUCAAGUUAAAGAUAAGUUAAAAAAAAAUUUUUUUUAAUGAACCUAGAAUCUCUUCAAGUUAAAGAUAAGUUAAAAAAUUUUUUUUAUAAUGAACCUAGAAUCUCUUCCCCUUUUCUUUUUAACUGCAUCUUUUUUUUAAACCCAGAACCGAUUCGGUAGUAGCCCGGUUUACUUACCUACUAAUAAGAUAAAGGCGAAAAGCCAACCCAGGUCUAAUCCGGCGUACAACAAAUAACCCGGGUUUUAUUCGAGUCGAAACGCCCGCACUAUUCACUUAAAACGGACAUUGGACACAUGGACCAGGUGGUGCAGCCGGUAAAUAACCGGUUAGGGUCGGGGAGGUAAUGAUAUAGAGUUGUUAGUAAGUCUCGAAUAAGUUCAGUUUUAAGAUUAAAUCAACUUUACGUACAUUGAAUUAACACGAUAAAUUGAAAUUUUGAACAACUAAUAUAAAAUAAACUAUAUUUAUUUCGUACAACGAAUUAACUGCAACGGCAUAAGGAUAAUUUCGUUAAUCACACAAUAUGAUAAAAAUGGAUUUUUUAGUAGGUGAUCAAGUUCAAUUAAUUUAUUUUACUAUUUGUCAAAUCUAUUCUAGGUACGUAAAGAAAAAAUUGAAGAUUAAAUUUUUUAAGUACUAUCCGGCCACAUACUACUGCACCACGUGUUCCAUCUCCGGUUUGAAAAGCAACGCCCUAGUUUCGUCGCCGCGAGGUACGAAGCCGACCAGCUCACCAGCUGAGCCAAGGAGGGUGCUCAGUGGCGAUUCAUAGACGGUGCACAGGGGAAUUGCAAGAGUCUUCUAGCGCGAAACUACAACACGCUAUAUUGACCAUCAUUUGCCUGCCGCAUCUCUCUCGGUCGUGGGCGUCACUAGAGUGCUGUUUCGCGGUGCACAGAAUAGUGUCAGGUUAAGAAAAGGGAUGGACCAGCCUCAAUGUGUCUUUUGUUUUUUGUUUUCGCGUUUUUUCUUUUCUUUUCUUUUCCUUUGCUUUUCUUUACGAGGGGUGAGUCUCGUGCGAGAAGAGCACGGGUGAGUAAAGGUCAAAGCAACGUUAUGAGAAGCUCUUGAAGUUGUGAUUGUAUUUGGAGGUAAAAUCAUAAAAAUAUUCUUAUAGUUUUACACAGAUUAUUAGAAACAAUGAACAUAUAUGGAGGAAUUAUAUGUAAUGUAAUUAGUAUAUUUUAUAAAAACUUUUAAUUAUAACCAUAUACGUUAAAGUUUUGGAACUCUAAUGACAGGACGGUUUCUAAAUAUAAUUUUUUAUUUAAUAUGUUUUUCUAUUUGUACAAUCUAUUUUAUGAUGAUAUCAAAAAAAUAUUAUAAUAAAAACAUAUAUUAAACUAUGCGAUUAUAAUAACAUUACUGGUUUAAAAACUAAUCUGGCUGGCAGGGAUCUCGUUCACCGUUUCUUUAACCACCAACCAUAGGCUUUGAGUUCGAGCUUAGGAUCGAGUAAGUGUAAAAGUCAAUUCAAAUAAAGAUUUAUUUUAUUUGCUUUGCCCAUCGCACGAUGGAUAGAAUUUUUUUUUUGUUUAAAAACUAAUCAACUGAAUAUAUAAAACUUUUAAAACGUACCUUACCAGGUAUAUAAUCUUUUUUAUCAUCUGAAUGUCUAAAUCAAAAGUUUUUAAUUUUCGAAUUAUUCUUAUUAAUAUAUUUAGUUUUAAAUAUAUUUACUUUUAAAUUAUCUUCCAGGCAUAUAAAAGGUCGCUUUUCGGGAGCAAUAUUUAGUUUUAAAUUAAAAUUUAUCUUCCUGUCACUGUGAUCGUAUGAGGCUUCCUUGUCGUAGGCAUCUUAAGGCGCCUGAUGUCACGGGCGAAGCUAAGAAGAUGAUGGCAGGACGCUAAGCGGCCGUUCGCUUCUGUUGAUGGUGAAGCUUCAAGCUUGGUGUGCGAGAGAGAGAGAGAGAGAGAGAGAGAGAGGUGAGAGCUCGGGAUGCGUGCGGGGUUAAAGUUGGGAAGGGGUUGGGGUUAGUAAACCCCACCCUUUUUUCAUGGUGUUUGGGUAUAAAUUGGGGGUUAAGGGGUUAUUCCACCCCUUAACCCCCAACCAAACGGGGGCUAAGGUUUACUUAGAUGUUAGCAGAAGUUUACGAAGAAAUAACUCGUGUGGAACAAAACUAAAAGAUGCGUGAAACAACAAACCCUUUAGGAAUUGAUUUGUAUAGCUCGAGUUGAAUGUUGAACUUCACUGGAGCUUCUGUAGAAGCGUCGUUGUGGUAAAGAAGGCUAUUUGAAUCUAGGUCUAUUAGCUUGAAACAAAGGGUAGCUACGAACACAAAAGAGUUUUGGUUUAGAAAGUGUGCCUUAUAUUGGCAAAUAGUCUUUUUGAUUCAAUGCACUCAAACAAUAUUCAUUCCCCCCCCCCCCCCCCCCCCCCCUCCACAGGAGCAAUUCAUGCAUCUUCUUAAUUUACGCCUUUUAAUUCUCCAUCCAAAUUACUAAAUUAUUCUUCCUAGACCACACUAUUGAUAAUCUUUCUCCCUGACUGUGUAGAUUUGAUUAGUGAUUGCCUUUGCAAUCCCAGUACAUCUUUUUUUCCCCCCAUCUUAUUAAUUCUUCUUAAUCGCAUGCUCCUAGGGCCGGCAAACGAGCGAGCCGGCUCGCGUUCGACUCGUGUUUGGCUCGAUAUUCGGCUCGCUCGAGCUCGACUCGAAAUUAAAUGAGCCGAGCUUGAACAAAAUAAAAGGCUCGAAAUUCAUUUCAAGCCGAGCUUGAGUAUUACUCGGCUCGUUCGAAUUAGGCUCGAAAAGCUCGAAAAGCUCGAAAAUAUAUAUAUAUAUAUAUAUAUAUAUAUAUAUAGGCUGGGGCUACUAUACUAUUAUGAGUAUAGACCCCCUUGUACUCAUAAAUUUUUAACCGUUGAUUGAUGGGAUGUGUGGUUAGGAUGAUGGUGGUCCCCACUUCGAAUGAUAGUGGUCCCCUAGGGUUGAGUGGGUAGUUGGUUAAAUAGUAUGAUCUAACGGAUGAAAAUGAUUAAUGGAAUAAAUCUAAGGGUCGAAAACUUAUGAGUAUAAAGGAGCCAAUACUCAUAAAAGUAUAGUAGCCGGACUAUAUAUAUAUAUAUAUAUAUAUAAUAUUUAUAAAUAUAAUGUAUUUUAAUUAUAUAUAGGCUUUAAUUUAAUUUGGGGCAUUAUUGUUGGCCCAUAAAAUAAACCCAACAAGUACGACCGUGCAAUUGAGCCCAACUCUAAAUUUACAUAACACACUCUCUCUUCCAGACUCUUACUGUUGCACAUAACCCUAAAACAUGAUAACAUUCAAAUUUUCAAAUUCCUACUUUUUUUUCCUCUCUCUCUCUCUCUCUCUCUCUCUCUCUCGCUCUCUCUCUCUCAGACCCUCAUCCAGUCAGGAAGUCACCCUAGCUCACAUUUCUUAUAAUUAUUUUGUAUUUUAAACUAUUGGACAUGUUGUAUCAACUUGUAGAUAAUGUUCUAUAAAAAUUAAACUAUUGAUUAUAUAAUAUCGAGAAUUUCAAUCGGCUCGUUUAGAGCUCGAGCUCGGCUCGACUCGAAAUUAGGCUCGCUCGAGCUCGGCUCGAAUUAAUUUCAAGCCGAGCUUGAGCCUAGAUUUAGGCUCGAAAUUAAUUUCAAGCCGAAUUUGAGCUGACAUAAGCUCGCUCGAGCUCGGCUCGUUUCCACCCCUACAUGCUCCCCUCUUGAAGAUUCAGCCCUAUACUUUUUUAAACCUUGAAAAGUAGCAUUAUGCAAUAAGAAAGGUUGAUCUAAGUGUCGACGGCCUUUUAAUAUAGGGAUUAAAAGAUCUUAGCUUUCAGGUUGGGCUAGCCUGGAUGUCCAGGCACAUGGACCAUUUAAUCAUCUCUCUACAUUAUUGGCAAGUAAGCGUACUAUAAUGAUUUCCACAGCCACAUAUAUCCUAUGUUAAGAUGACGUGAUAGCUAAAUCAGUUAUUCCAUAGUAGUUUAAUUAGCAUAGAAUCCCCAGUAUUAAUGCUUAGAGAGUUUAAAACACCACCCGGGGGUUGUGGACCCGCCAGCGGACAAGGGAAGGGGGCGUUGGGGGGGGGGGGGGGAGCGUGCGGGAAGUUGUGCUCCUUAAGAUGUGACAGUGUCAACGUGGUGCAGUAGUUAUUGUUCGGUUAGUGUAAGGAAGAAAAAUUUAUUUUCAUGUUAUUUUUAUAAAAAAAUGUCAGUACUACCCUGUAUAUAAGAAUUUUUCUAAUUAAACUAACUAAACAAUGCGGUGCAGUGAUUAUAUGGGCAACGUAAGAUCUUAAAGAGGAAGUUGUGCCGGGUUUGGGGGGGAUGUGGAUGCGCGGACAUAUACAUAUUUAUACAGAUACGCCCGUUAAUUUGUCGACAGCGUGUUAGUGAAGAUAUGCCUACUCGUCUCCCCUAGUCAUAUUAACCCUGGUAAAAGCUCUUCUUUGACAAAGGACCUGUAACAGAUAAGGUGGUAGGCAUCUGGUUGACGUUUUGUUGGUAAUGAAUACGCACAGACUGUACCUUGCCAUUGACCGGCUCGGGCUGUUUUCACUCCCGCUACCUCCAGACUAUAAAUCAAAUCCACUUCGACUUCUAUCUUGAGUAACAACACAUGAUCGUUAAAGAGCUGAUUACUAACAACCAAAUUUUUCUGGUCGUAUGACAGGACACUGCUAUCCAGUCUAACCCGGCUCAGUAUUAGUACUGGGCACUUGCGACACAGGCAUGCGAAAAUUAUUUAAAUAAUGCAUAAAGAUUGUCGUUUUAAAAAUCCUAAUUAUUAAUUGCGGUUGCUAGACUAUUAUUAUUAUUUUACUGUGUAGUACUCUAUUCAUGUCAGAUUUAACAUUGAUAUAUAAUACGGUUAGACUAUUAUUUUUAUAAAUACGUACAACUAGUAGUAGUCAUUAAAUAACGAUAGAAAACAAAGCUGCAUCAAUUUAGAGAACUCAACCUUAACGUGGCGUUCACUAUUUUUAUUAUUAUUAUUAUUAUUAUUAUUUUAUUUUUUUAUUUUUUAAAACCAACCGGCACCGAGGACUCACAUAUAGGUAGUACCUACUGACCACCUGGCCCAGGUCUCUUAUCAUGUAGAAAACUCAUUCAAAAACUGAACUUUCGAUGCUGAGGUUGUUAAAUUCACACCAACCCCUUUGCAGGUUGGCGGCGUCUCACCUCCACCUGGGGUGGUAGAAAAUUAAAUUAAAAAAAAAGAUUUUUUCCGCCCCCACUCCACCCCGGGUGGAGGAGACGACGCGGAACGAGCGUUUCGGACAGCCGGGUGAACCGCUGUGAAGUGUGCACAACCUCGGGCCCGGGUGUGUGCGACAGCGGAACAGGGGUCUUCUAAGGAUUGGGGGUGCAGGAUGCUUUGUAGUUAAAAGGAUGCACCGCAGAAAGAUGACCGACGAAACAGGAGGUUUUACUUAGUGAAUAAUGCGAGGCGACCGGGGCGUAACACUGUAAAACAUGUUGUGCACGACAUCGCUUAGGAUUCCUACUAAAAUCCACGUUAUUGAGUAAAAUGGUACUUGCUAAAACAAGAGUUAAAUAGCGCUACAAAACAAGCAUAGCAAGUAAUUAAAGCACUUCAACUGCAAAAUAAUUACUCCCUUUGAGGGCUGUGUUAACUUUCUCUUCCAUAACCCUCCCUUUGUGCCCUUUUCCGAUAAUUAAUUCGAGAGAGGUGGUGUGUUUUUUUUUUUUUUUUUUUUUUUUUUUUUUGAUUGAUUUGAUUUCAUCCCUUACUAAAAAUAAAAUUAAUUAUUAUUUUUAAAUUCAUAUUACGAUUAUACUUUUUAGUCUUAUUUUUAAAUUAAAAUUAACAAGCAAUAAAAACUUUCUCAUCGCCAUCCACGUCAUUUAUUACCUUCUCAAAGGUAAUAUAGCGAAUGUUGGGAGUGAAGCAUAUAGAAUACAUAAUAAAAAACAGCGUGACGUAGAAUAAAGUGUAUAAUUAAUAUUCACAUUUUAUGAGAAGAUGAAAUUUUAGAUUAGUAGGUUGGACGUUAGUCGCUUUUCCCAUCGACAUUUAUACGCAACUCUUUUUCAUAAUCGGUCAUACAACGUGUUUUAUAUGUUUGCUUACUUUUACGGUUGUUGAUAAAAGGAAAACGAAUGAUCAAUUUUAAUAAAACGUGCGCCUAGUAGUAAUUACUAAAAAAUAAGAAUUGAGCUCAACCCACUCAUACUUAACCGUACGUGUUCAAUUCGAUAAGAAUUAAGUUAAGAUUAUAUAUUAUUAAUCACAACUUUACUCUCAUCCACCUGGAAGAUUCAAAAAUAUCAAAUAUGAAACAAAAACGGAAUUUGAGAACUAUCCCUUUCUAAAACUGGAUUUAUCUGUCCACUUUCUAGGCUAACUUCGUCAAUUAAAAGUAUUAAUUCUUACUUUUAAAACUAAAUUCGUUGACGUCAAACCGAACAUGAUUAAUUAAAAUCUUCAUUGAUCACGAUAUGAAGUGUUUUUAUAUAAUAAAAAGACACGAAGAUUUAUUAAGUUACAACAAACUUUUUUUUUUUGAUGAAAUAAUGACUAAUUAUAUAAAAUCUUUCUUUAUCUUGAAAUAGGAUAAACAUAAUACUUAGUAAUUACGUGUAAAUAAAUCUUCCCACUUAUGGCCAUUGAUAUAUGAUUAUUUUUUUAGGAAGAACCUAAAAAAAAAAUUAACGCGGGUUAUCUCUGUUUUUAAACGCUAAAUUCCAAAGUAAUCCAUUAUGAAUUAUGUAAAAAAAUAAUAAAUUUGAUUUAAAAAUAAAUAAAUAAAUAAAUAAAUAAAUCUCUUUACAUCGUACGAUGGACGAAGUAAGUAAUUUUUUCACUUGAUUCGAUAUAUCCACUCCGUAGCGUCCGGAGCUCCUCCUGCUUUUUUCUUUCUCUCUCAUAUAUAAAUAUUCUCCAAUUGAUCAUGUUAACACAGGGCGACUACCUGCUUCAACGAGGGUGACUGAACAAUCAAUUAAUUAGAACAUUUAAGAUAACUUCCCUAGACCGGGUCAGUUAGACUUCUAACGUGGCAAAGACCGGAAGGUUUGAUUUUAAAAUAACUAUUGAUUCUCGAACACUAUCAGGUUUAGAGGUUGUGAGGUUUUCGGUCAACCGAGAAUUGAUCAAAAGGAGGAAAGGAACGGGAAAGAUUCCACGAACCACAGUCCUACCAAGACAAGAAACUUGGAUCGAUCGUUAAUUAUAUAAUAACAAAUGUAGAUACUACAAAAAAACGUGGAUCAAUGUAAGAUAUAGAUUGUUUUAAUAAAUCUGAAAAAGAGUUUUUUUUAUUUAAUAAAUCUGGAUUUAAUCCGUACAUUACUCGAUGUGGAUCAACUUAGUUAAUUUAGAAUAUAGUCCAACAAAAAUCUAUUAGUCACGUAAACGUAUAUAUAUAUAUAUAAUAAGCUACAAAGUCAGUUAUGUGAUUAUUAUAAAUAACUUUAAAGUUAGUUAUGUGAUCUAUGACCUGUAGAGUGUCAGUCAUUCAAUCGACGAAAAACCAAAACAACCACAAAAAAAGGUAGAAGAAAGAGAAAACGAAACGCAACAAAGCGAAGGAAAAGAAGAAGUAGGAAAAAGAUAAAAUAAAAAUAAAAAGGAAGGGCCCAGAUCAACAUCGAAUUAAUCAAAUACAAGUAUUACUUAAUUUGCCUAUCGUACGAUGAGAAGAGAGAUUUUUUUUUUCUAUCAUUACCUCAAAUCAAAUAGCUAUCGUAUGAUCUAGUUCAAGUCAUUUUAACGAGUCAUUAGGUAUGUAGUGCCAACUCAAUUUUCAUUUAUUACUCUAACUCGUCGCUAUCCACCUAUCACUAAUAACGAAUUAAAUGUCGAGAUUGGGAGGUAAUUGGUCUGUCGUAGAAGAAAAACAGGUGGAAAGAUUUUCCUCUUCUUGUAGCUGUUCGUUAAUUGUUGAUGGUUUUACACACAUAAUCCUGGUGUUCUCGUGGUUAACGUUGAGGUGAUUCGAAUUAAUUGACCAGUUCGAUUCAAGAAGAGGAUUAGAGUGUUAAUUAAUUAAUUGAUUAAUUAAUAAUUAUUUUACUCGGUUGGUACCCGUUUUCAACGUCAAACACGCCUCCACCAGGUUGAGGGACAGAGAUGAAAGAAGACUAAUAACAUUUAAUUUGGUUUAAAUUUAAAAUUUUAAAACCUAAUUUCACUAAUUUCAUACAUCUUGUCCUGUAAUAAAAGGGCUGUAUUAACAGGUGAUCCAUUCCUAUUCCUCUAUAUUAAUCGCUUAAAUUAUAAAUCAUAAAAUGAUGGAUCUAGUAAUUUUGUUAUCAAUGUACCUGGACAUUUAAACGUGGAUCAUCAAAUGUUAGUUGUUUUAUGUACGUUGUUGACAAGAGAGAUUUUCCAAGUACAAGAAACAGGGAAAAUUCACAGGGUCGUUAACGAGAAUUCUAUAUUAUGAUAAUUUUUUUAUACAUCGUUUAUAUAAAGCUAUAUUAAAAAUGAGUAGUUUAUGAAAUAAAACUCUUAAUAAAAAUUUACAUUUUCAGUUUUAUUUUUAUUAUGACAAAUUAUUUUAUUAAUUUUUUCGUAAUAUUUUUAUAAUGUAUUUUAAAGAACGCUUUAAAAAGAGAUACUAUGCCGUUUUAAUUUAUAAAGUUUUCUUAAAUAAAAAUUGGUGUUUUAAUAUAACCAUUAUAAAUCGUACUGUUUUUAUUCCUUGUGCCCACGUAGAUUAAGUGGUGUUUUUUAUUGAGGUGUACUUCUUUACUUUACGAGGUGGAAUUGAAAAAGGGGUCAUCGGAUCUACCCCGGGUCGUAAAGAUCGGUAUAUUUAGCGAUCCAGGGUUUUCUACCCGGCUCACAAUACCACGUAAAUUAAGUGGGUGUUUAAAAUGUAAAAGAUCUUUGUGUUUCUGUGGUUUAAAAUUUUCCAAUUAAUGUGGUUACCAGGAAUUGGAAAUGUGAUAAAAAAUUAAACAAAGGGUUAUAAUAAAAAAAAACGUUAGUUCAGAGAUUAGAAAACUAAAAUAAAGUUAAUUCAGAGUCGCCAAUCUAUCGAUAAUUUUAAUUGCUUUUUACGGUGCAGUCGAGGUGCAGUCGCGGUGCCUCCGCGGUACAGUCGCGGUGCCACCGCGACACAGUCACCUAUCGUUUUUUUUUUUUCCAAUCCCUGGUUUAACUUGUUAUCACGUUUCCAACUCUUGGUUACCACAUUAAUUGGGUAAUUUAAAUAUUUAAAUUUUUUUUUAAAUUAAAUUUCUAAAUUUAAAAUUUAAAAUUAAAAUUAAAAUUAAAACUUAAGUUUAAAUUUAAUCUUAAGUUUAAGGCUAAAACUUAAAUUAAAAAUUAAAAAUUAAAAUUUAAGUUUAAGUGUAAACCUUAAGAUUUAAGAUUAAAUUAAAGUUUUAAGCUAAACUUUAAAGUUUAAGUUUUACACUUAAACUGAAGCUUCAAAUUUAAGUUUAAAUCUUAAUUUUAGUUUAGAAUUUAAGUUUAAAUUAAAAAUUUAAGUUUAAAUUUUAAAUUUUAGUUUUAAAACAUAUACUAAAAUUUAAAUUUAAGUAUAAAAUUUAAAUUUAAAGCCAAAGCUUUGAAAAUAAAAUUUACAUUUAACUUUAUAGUUUUAGUUUUAAUUUUAAUUUUAAAAUUCAAACCUAAGUUUUAAAUCUAAGUUAAUUUUUAAAUUUAAAUUUUAAACUUAAAGUUAAGUUUUAAAAUUAAGUCAAAAUUUAAGUUUAAGUUUUAAGAUUAAAGAGCCAUCAAAUUUUAAAAUUAAAAUUAUAAUAAAAACUUAAAUUUUAAAUUUUAAAACUUAAAAAAAAUCCCUGAUUUUACUUUUUACACGUUUUAAAUCCCUGGAUUAACUGUAUGUUUUCCAACGGCGUAUCCACGACUGCACCGCUAAGGCAAUUAAAAUUGUCAAAAAAAUUUGCCAACCCUGAUUAAUAUUAUUUUAAUUUUCUAAUCCUUAAGUUAACGUUUUUUAUUUUCCAACCCCUAAGUUCACUUUUAAUCACCUUUCCAACCCAUGAUGGCCACAUCAAUUGGGUUAAAAUUUUUGGGUCAAAGUGUGGGUGAUGAGGCUUGGCACAAGCGCUGAGGGCUUUGAUAGGGGCGAAUUUUUCGCCAGGGGAGUCGUAAAGGGGGAGGGGACACGAGACAACAUCGCUCUCUCUCUCUCUCUCUCUCUCUCUCUCUCUCUCGAGGCUACUCUGCGCGCUCGCCCAAGCAGCCUCCGCCGCGGCGCAGCCACCCCAGCCGGUGCCGCCACCGAGGCCACCGCUGCCCCCUCCUCCGCCGCCUCCUCUCCUCUCCGCUUCUCCACCUCCUCUCUCUUCCCCCCCUCCUCCUCCUCCUCCUCCUCCUCCUCCUACUCCUCCUCAACCUCGAUCCCAACUCAAACCCCCGCUUCUUCUUCCACUCGAGCCCCGCACCCCGCUUCACCCGCGGCUCCCCCGUCCCGACGGCUUAUGAUUGCCGCUUCCUAAAGGGGGGGUGCCGCGGCGGUGCCGCGCGCAGCGGCGAGAGCAGCGGCUUGAGCAGGCACAGCAGCAGGAGGAGGAGGAGGCGGCGGGACCGGCCGCGGCCCUCGUUCUCCCGGCGCCGCCGCCUAGGGCAGAGCGGGCUCCCGCAGCCUAGGCGAGUGGGGGGAUCCACUCGUCAUCGCCACAGGGACAAGACCCCAAAAAGAAUAUUAGAGCGAAUCCCAAAAUACUAAUCGACUACAAGAAUCAAAGAGAGAAUUUAAUCGGGAAUCAAAAACCAACAUAAUAAAGUAAUUGAAAGAGGAUUAAGAAGUGGUUCGAGAAAACUGACUUACUCUCUAAAAGCAUUCUAAAUCCUGGAAAAAAAAGAAAACAACCAAAAUUAUAAUAGCAAGAUAAAUUACAAUUACCCAUUAAAUAAGUUAGGUGUGUACAAAUAAGAGGAAUUAGUAGUGGACCAUAAAAAGGGGAAAAAUAAAGGGGAUACAGAGUAGGAAAGAAUUUGAGAAUGAUAAGGAGAUAUUAUGAGAGUUUUUAUCUUUUAUUUAAGAGUGUUAUAAGCUAUAUUAAUUAUUAUAGUACAUUUUGUCAACUAUCGUUCCUCCUUUUGGAUGAAAAACUAUAAUCAAACUACCUUGCUUUUUAUUUCAUUUUUAAGGUCUUAUUUCCCUUCUCGUAUGUUACCCGAAGGAUUACGUAUUUAGUAAAUUAGGGACCAUCAAUUUUUACCAAAAAAAAAAAAAAAAAACCAAAAAUGAAAAUUAAAUAAAACAGAUAACUAUACAUAUAAUUAUUUCCUUAUUAAAACGUAACGUCGUCAGUCUACCACCACCCUACCGGGGGGUAUUCUCGUAAGUCCUACUUGUCGAACAAGUUGGACAGAUUCCUCUCGUUAAGACUCGAGCUGUGGAGUUUGGGAUUCUUCUGGUGGUUGUUGUUAUCGUCGCCGCCGUCGUCAUCGUCUUUACCGUUGUUAUACUUCUCAUCGUUACCCCACCUCCUAGGCCUGUUCUUUCCUGGCCGAUGUUCCUUGAGAGAGAAGCACUUCCACUUGUACCAACCUCUAGGAUAACCCUCCUUCCACCUAGAAUCACGGGUGGUGAGAAUACUCUCGGAACGGGAAAGAGAACUCGAGUACAAGGUGUUCGGUUGCUGCCUAGAACCACACAGCUAGGCAUACAUAGAAGAGGAUUGUUGAAACACCAGGAUUAAUAUAUAUAUAUCUCUCUCUCUCUCUCUCUUGUUCCGAUGAUAUGAUAGAGAUCAUGACCUCGAAGUCAUGAUAUCGGGACAAAAGUUUGAAGCCCACAAAUUUAGUUGCUAGAUGUGGCGCUUUAUACUAAAUCCCAUAUACUUUAAAAAUCUUUAUUUUAAAAUUAAUAAAAGAAUUAGCAAAUGAAUCAUUCAUUUACUACAGUUUUACUUGCCACUUUUAACUUGUUAAAAAUUUUAAACUCCUAUCUUAAAAACUUAAGUUCUAGUUACUACGACUGGAAUUAGAUCUAUCAAAUUUCAUAUCAGAUAGUUUGAAACUUAUUUAAAUCUAAGAAAAUGUGACAAUUUGAUGUUUGAGCGGUAUUAUCGGUAACUUUUAACUCUUAAAAUUUUAUUAAACUAGUAAUUCAUUUGAUACAAUUUUUUAUAUAUUUUAAAAUAAGGAUUUUUAAAAUUUAUAAAAUCUAGUCAAAAUUGCCACACCUAGCAAUUAAACUUAUAGAAUUCUAGUUUUUGCUCUGAUGAUGGCAUCCGGGGCCAUGAUAUCUAUAAUAUGCUCAGAGAGAGAGAGAGAGAGAGAGAGAGAGAGAGAAAGAGAGAUACAUAUAUAUAUAUAUAUAUAUAUAUAUAUAUAUAUAUAAACAUUGAUAGUAGGACGUUAUAGACACAAACGCAGUAGCUCCUUUUACAAAUAAGACAACAAUAUCAAAGAACUAGAGUAACAACACCUAUAACCGUCUACCAAAUUUGCGAAAUUUCAAUAAUCUACGAAGAAGACUCAAACUCGAGUGAAUAUUUCUGUUCCUACCACUAACCUACUACCAACCCCUACAAGGAACCUCCAUCCGAAAGAAAAGAGUGAAAAAGUCUCCCUAUUAGACGAAACUAACUUUGUUAAUUUAGUCUCGUUAAAUAAUGGAAAAAUUAAGAAGUACCGGACCUACGAACCGUACUAUCGUAAAUGAUAAAAGAACAUAAGUCAACAAGAUUUACUACUAAAACAAUGUACCGAAACGAAGAAGAGGUUUUACAAAAAAUGGAACUUUUCAAAAUCCACUAAUAUAACAGAAUAUUGGAAUAUAAGACAGGAUUAAGAGUCAACACCAAACAGCAGGUACGUCCGAGAAAAACUUAUCACAGCUCUCUGAAUCUUAACACUCCUCUAGACUUUGGUCACCUGUACCAUUCAAGUCUAAACGGGAGAUUCUUAGUCAUAGUUAGGAAUUGAGACGUGAUUUUAUAAUGUAUAAUCUUCUGAUACAACUACGGAUCUUGUACAUAAUCAAGAAAUGGGAAUUUAACCCAAAAGGUCCCGAACAGUACUUUUUUUGCACAAUACCAGUAGUUAAGUAGUACAUAAUCAAUAUUAUAAAAACUAAAUUACCCCUUUGAAACAAUUUUAAGAAGAAAACCAGCGAGAAACGUCGUCGUGGUGCCAAAGUCGGACCACUGGACUUUUCAACUGAGAUCUCUUCUGAGACGUAUACGUUCCAUCAGAUAGUUGGGAUCUUUGUAUCUCUUUAACUCACGACCAAAAGAAAGGCUCAGUUCGGACCUAGCUAGUAAGGUGACCGGUAAAGAAAACUAAAACGGGGGGAAGAAAAGAAACAAACCCUUUAAACAGGUAAAACGACCCACAAAGAAACAAUGUGGGGGAUACAAAGGGACAAGGACGAUCACGACACGUUAAUAUUGGUCUUGUAUUUCCGAUGAACGUUAUCACAUUUAUACAGACAAAAAAUACAAACAAAAUACAAACGAAACAACAAAACGCUAAACAAACGGCUUAUACUUACAAAUACGAAGCGUUUAUAAGAUUAAGAGACAUAAAACUACACUUAGGCUUAAACUCGAUGGAUGUAUAGAAUAACCGUAAAAACUGCCAGUCAUCUAUCACUUCAAUCACGUAUAACACUUACGAUGAAUGAGGUAGGAGUCCUGAAAAUCCUCUCUGGCUUUAGACAUCCAUUUAAUUUGAUCCGGAAUUUACACCUCACCACACUUGACAAUUCUCGCCACAUUAAAAAGGCCUAAUAAUUCCAGACUAAGAUAUACGUUUACAGAACUAGGAGGUUAUGAUAAUGACUACUAUCCAAUAUGUAUGGACACCUUGGAACAACGCAUUCGUCUCAAAAGAAAAAGAAAAAGAACAUCCCCGGACUUCCUCCAUUUGAAAAUACAACUAAAUAAUGAUAAAAGACGUAUAUAUAAUUAGUUCUCAAAAGGGCAAUAAAGGAAUAACUAUAGAAACUAAUCAAAAGAGUUCUACAAGAUACCAUUUAUAUGUUUUCUUUAGGUUACUUAAAACCCUAUUUGUACUUGGUUUCUGUUCUUUAUUAGAAUUGAAGUGUUGAUUAUAAACACAAUGUUUAUAUACUAUUUGUUUGUUACUAAUGGACUUAUAAUUCCUGUAUACAUUUAUUAGGAAAUGGGAGCUAAAGGUUGUAAUCGUUAACAAAUAUUGUUUUCUUAUUAUAUCAUCUAUAUCGAUAUUAAAGUAUCGUAAACAACAAACAAUAAGGCUGCAGAUACAGAGUUACUUAUAUACAAAUAUCGGACCGCCUCUGAAGAUUAAAGACAACUAAACUUCGACACCGGAAGUCUUCAGAGGAGUCCUAGAAGGGACUUCCGCUAGAACCCUACAUAAGAUUCUUGUGGUGGAAGGAUUAGAAGAACAUCCCUCGGUGGAUCCUCUUUAGUGUUUUCCAGUGUAUACUUAUCAACGAGCUACAACGAGUACACAUAGUAUAGGAAGUUUUUUUUGCGAUUAUGAUUAACAUUUAACAGUAAUGUCUAGUUUAAUCUUUUCGUUCUUUAAGUUUAAUUUGUACAUACAACUAACCAAUUGCCUUUACAUCUCUUCUACGAUUGCAACUCUAAAACCCUUUUCCCGUUUAGAGUUCAUGGAAUAAGAGGUCUUUAUUUUAAUAUAGGAGAAGAAACUAAAACGAGAGAGGAGAAGAGUGAUGCGUACGGUACCCUUAGAGUGGCCGGAGGAGUAGACCCACGGAUCUAACUCGUUUUUAUUCCUCUUGUAAAUCUUUGUUCAUCUCCUGUAAAUCUUUGUGAGAACUUCUCCUAGUUUCUCGAGAUAGAUUACAACAAAGUGUGAAAUAUUAUCUUCUUAAAAGCUGCCUCAUAUCGAUGUAAGAGUUAAUUCAUUUAGAAGCCCGAAUGCUACAGUGUCGUUGUAGGUCUUAUAGUCCUACCCUCCUCUCCUAGAGAAGUUCGAGACGACCCCGAUGGAUGUUUUCGUCGUUGUGUGGGUCUUCAUUUGUGUCAGAAUUGUCCCGAGAGGAACGUAUCUUAAGACCCGCGUUUUAAUUAUGGACUAUUCGGAACAUAAAAUACUCGAGAAACUAGGACAGCUGUUGCAUCUACUCGGGUAGGCACAGCUGCAUCGUGUCCAGAGGGCACGCCUCGGUAGGAAGAAGCAGCUACCGCUCUCGACAUCGAAGAACCAACAAGUUUAUCGGACCUUCUUGGAGUAUUUAUCGAAAACGUAGUAGUAGAUGAUGAUGAUGAUGAUGAUGAUGAUGAAUUAAACAUGAGUGUAUUUCUCCUCCUAGAUCGACUUAUUGAAGCAAUGUGAGUGAGUCAACUAGUGCGACUUUGAUUUAAAGUUUGUGGUAACUUAAGUGAGAAGAGUUGAACUUGUUUAGGUUGAUAUUGUACAAGACAUUAAGACCUCAACUGAUCCUUGGAUGGAUAAACCGAAUUUUAAGAAUAAUAUCGAAGCGAUAGGUCCGUAAACUGGUCCUCUUUUGCUUUUAUUGAUCUCGUUUUCCGGUUUUGCAGGGUUUUCGUCUCUUUUAGACUAAGGGUUGACGACAUCCACCGACUAUAACGCACAGAAUAAUUACUUUUUCCGAUAAUUUCGAUCAACACAGUCGAUGUUAACUGAGAGAAAAACCAAAGCCUUCAAAUAAAGUCGGUAUAGAAAAGUUAAGCUGAAGAUGAAGGUUGCGUCUCUUUUAAUAAGAUGGUUUAUGAUACGAACCUUUAUUCUGCUGUUUCCAGAUUAUAGAGACACGAAAUAACGUAGCUUGUAUAGAAAUAUUUAAUUCGUAUGGAUCAGGAACAUUACGACGUAUGCCACUGAGACCAUUAUUAUCGAGUAUAACUUAACCUAAUAUAUAUAUAUAUAUAUAUAUAUAUAUAUAUAUAUAUAUAUAUAUAUGUCAUUUCAAUGAAAUGGUAAUCCUCGUAUUGUUAAGCACACGAGGAUUCAAAAAUUAGCAGGUAGUUAAAAUUACCUACCAAUCUCUUUCUUUAUGUUUCUUUUCUCUUUAACUUUAUGGUUUAAAGAAAAGUUAAAAGAGAGAGAGAGAGUAGGGUUGAUGAGUAGUUUUAACUACUUACUAAUCUUUGAAUCUUCGUGUGCCUGAUGACGUGAGAAUUAUUACGUCAUCGGGACGAUAUAUAUAUUCGAUCUUAUGUGAAUUUUCGUGGUUCUAUAACCACGAAAAUUCAAAGAUUGGAAACCUAGAUGGGGAACAGAUAAUGAUGUAAAACUUAAUUUAUGAUAAGGUAUAUGAUGGUGAUUAGAGUUCACCCGAUCAUAGUAGAAUCGGGAUUUAGUGGAAGUAGGUUUCCGAUGUUUAUAUUUUCGUGGUUAUGGACCUAUGAAAAUCUUCAUAAGAUUGAGUUAAUAUAUAUAUAUAUAUAUAUAUAUAUAUAUAUAUAUAUAUAUAUAUAUAUAUAUAUAUAUAUAUAUAUAUAUAUAUAUAUAUAUAUAUAUAUAUAUAUAUAUAUAUAUAUAUAUAUAUAUAUAUAUAUAUAUAUAUAUAUAUAUAUAUAUAUAUAUAUAUAUAUAUAUAUAUAUAUAUAUAUAUAUAUAUAUAUAUAUAUAUAUAUAGGAUACGAAAGAUUUCAUGCCUCCAAAAGCACAAACAUUCAAUAAAAGCUACUACCCUGCAGACUAAGCCGCUAGUCAAAAGUAAUCUGUACUAGAUGCGAUAACCUUGAUAGGUCUUUGGUUUAAAGUAUCAAAAAAUUGAAGCAAACGGAUCACUUGCUCAUCAGAGUUUUACUUGCUGACUUUUAUUUUUUGAGUAUUUUUUGUCACUAUUUUCUGAGUUUAAAGUUUAGCUUUCAUAAUAAGAAUGAGAACUAUAAUUCAUCUUAAAAAAUAAUUUAAAAAUACAUUAAACCUAUGAAGAUUUGGCAACUUGAAUUUUUGCACGAUGUAGCCGGCAAUUUUAUCAAUAAAAACUCUGGGACACUAGCGAACCACAUACUACAGCUUUUUAAUAUUUUAAACCAAAGAUUUAUUAAAAUUAUCGCAUCUAAUACGGAUUGCCUCAGCUAGCAAGCCUACAGGAUAAUAGCUUUUGUUGAAUGUCCGGACCUCUGGAGGCAUGAAAGCUUUCGUGCCUUCUGUAUGAGAUAUAUAUAUAUAUAUAUAUAUAUAUAUAUAUAUAUCGUCUCAAUAACACGAUAAUCCUCGUGUCGUCAGAACUAUGAAGAGAGAGUGGGAUUGAUGGGUAGUUUUAACUAACUAGCAAUCUUUAUAUCCUCGUGUUCUGUGACGAGAGAGAGAGAGAGAGAUAUAUAUAUAUAUAUAUAUAUAUAUUAUUCCUAAGGUAUUUACGCAUUACGUAAAUUAUGUCCUUAAUUUCACCCAUCAAUCGUGGAACGUAUUGUCCCCCCGGAGAUUAGGUAUUGAGGGGUAGAAACAAGCCACCCUCACCGAAGGGACAGGCGUGUAGGUGAUAGAACCGGAGGUGACAACCCUAGUCGGAGGGAUACCUGUCCACGUCGGAGGGCAAUUGGGGUAGUGUGUUACAGUGACCGGGUGAGCAAAGGCAGUUUGGUAUCGUGACGUGUGUCGCACAUUAAGUUAUGUAAUGGGUUUUUCUGAUACGAUUAUUUUAUUAUUCUUUUUAUAUCAUUUUUAACAUUAUUAAAAAGUUAAUCGCUUCUCGCACUACUUACUAUGGGUUAUAAAGUUUAAGCUUAAUAUUAACUAAGUAUAAAAGUCAAAAUAAAAAUCGUACGAUGAAUAGUAGAUCAACGUACGUACGUACGUAUACGUACGUACGUAUCCGCACACGUAUAUAUAUAUAUACAUCUUAUAUGGACGCUCUCGGACUGCUCCCCCUUCGUGUAAGGCUUCGCGAGGUUUACAACCGCCCGCUCCCCCCGCGGCCUCCUCUACUGGAGCGCCUCCCUCCUCUCCAGCUUUACGACCCGGAACGCGCGGCGCGCGCGGUAAACGUGCUGGUACCCCCCCUGCCGCCCCUCCGCGCACUGCGCCACGCGGCGGUGGCGCGCGUAGUGGAGGAGGCGGCGCUUGGCGGCGGGGAGGCGCGGCUGGUAGUGGCACCACCGGGGGCGCCGCUACCGGGGCGUGUGCUUGUGGCUCUUGGGCUUGUACACCUUGUCCCCGUGCCGCGUGGGCAUGUGCACGAGGAGGCUGGGGGUGUGCACCGCCUCGUGCGCGCGGUACCGCUGCUCCAACGCCACCCACCGCUGCUGCGGGAACGAGAAGGGCCACCAAGGCCUCCUCAUGUAGUCGCACCGCCCCAGCACCCCCCUCUGGGCUUGCCGCCCCUACCCCUACCCCGGCCCCAAAUUAGCCUCCCUCCUCUCCUUCCCGAGCUGCUCCUGCUCCUCCCCCUCCCCCCACGCGUCCCUUGCCUCGAACCCCCGCUCCAGCUCACACCGCUCCUGCUCCUUCCCCCUCCUCAGCUCCUGCUCCCGCACCUCGAGCCUCCCCCACUCCUCCCCCAACCCCCACCUCUCCUCCCGCGGCUCCCUCUCCUGCCUCUCCCGCUCCCGCCCCUUCCCCUCCCUCAACCCCCUCUCCUCCUCCCGCUCCACGGGCGCGGCCUCCGGGUCCCGCCUCUCCCGCCUCCGCCGCCGCGGCCUCUCGGCCGCCUCCAGCCGCUUCCUCUCCCUCGCGGGCCUGCUCCGCAGCUGCUUCCGCCCGAACAGCCGGCCGCCCCCGCCCCGCUCCCUCUUCUCCUUAAGACCCUCCCUCCUUAGUCUCAGCGGCCGGCUCCCUCCGCCGCCCCCCCUCGUCUCCGACGCCUUCUACGGCCGGCGCCUCCUCUUGGGCGACGGCUGUAGAGGGUACGACGGCGAUCUUAACGAGAGACGAACGACGGCCCUGAGACUUUUUAUAUAAUAAAUCAAAGAGCCUCGUCUUGUGCCUCCCUCUCUCUGACCCUCUGACCCUCUGACCCUCUCCCUCUCACCUACACCUCCCUUUUAAAUAAAUAACCCCUAGCAUCCUCCUCCUCCCCGGCCCGUUAUUUACGCCUCCUACCCCCUAUGCAGCGCCACUAUUGAGCACUGCUGCACCCUCCGUAGCGAGUGGGUCGAGCGAGCGAGCGAGUGCGUGAGGAUGAGUUUAGUUAUUUAUCGUUCUGCCACCUUUCUGUAGUUGGUAGUUGGUAGUUGGUAGUUGGUAGUUGGCAAGAAGAUGCAAUAUUUAAUGGUUCUGGCCGUCAAAGCAAAGCAAAGCAAAGCAAACUGCGUUUUAUGGUUCAAAUGUUAUUGUAUAUAUCUUAAUGUGUUGUAUAUGUCAGUGCAACUGACCUCAGAGGUACAAUCUGUGAUCUGUCGGAGUAUGACAAAACAAAACAGGCGUUCACUUUAUCACGCGGCAUCUACUGCUAGCGCAGAGGACAUCUAGCAUCAUUAUAUCAUGAUUAAUAACGGGGCCAGACCAGGCGGAGGCACCUAUCUAAAAAUUUUUUGUUAAAAAUUUUUUACUUUUAAAAUUUUGUAAUAAUAAUCCGUAAUACGCGUUAUAGAUGCUCUAGAAGAAUAAUUUAAUUUUUGAUUUUUGACGAACUGGAGUUUACCUUUCUUUUAUGGAAUGUAAGAGAACACUGGAUGGAUACAAAACCUUAUAGAAUCUAAAGGCCAGGCCACAUAGAUCUUUUUCUUUUCCCAAAGGUUGAAGGGAGCAUGUUGAUCUUUCAGAACAAUUCAGUCUCCGAGUAGGUUAAUCGACCUAGUGAGCGAAGUUUUAUUGUUGAUGACGAUAAAUUUGUCUUGAAAUGGGUUAACAUUUCGUGCUGUUUGGUGGUGUUUGUUAGCUUACGUCUGUAUGGCCGUAAAGCAUGAAAGGUAGUUAUUUAAGUCCAGUGUUUUCGUUCUUGAAUGUCAGCACAGGAUUAUAUAAUAAUCGUUCGCGGUUGGCAUAUUAAUUUUUUUACUUUUUUUUUAUGUUACUUUUACUUUGUGUAACUAUAAUUUACUCGUAGACAGUUGAAGUGACCCACUUAUCACUAAACUUUAGCCUACAACCCCCAAUGUGGUGGUGAUUAACUUUAUCGUAAGCAAGUAGAAGCUGUAAUGUAAAUUGGUGCGGUGAAGUUAUUCUCCACGAGAAGGUCGGCCCCCUAGAUUUAAAUGUGUCUGUUGAGAAGGUGUUUGUGUUGCUGAGAGAACAGGUAACUGGUCGGUCGACCUCUUUUCCUUUCUAGUGCGGGGGGCAAUUGAUUGUACGCCGUUCUUUACCUCGUAAUUUUCUAGUUUGUUCACUUUUAAAUUAUGUGUUACUUAUACUUUCUUGUGAUUUAUUUUUCUCUUCUUUUCUUUUCUUUCCACAGGAACCCGAAAAGUUGUGCCUUGAGAUAGUUUCCGGUCGACAUAGUUUCCGGUCGACAUACAACCAAGUAACGCGUAAGUCAAAUACAAGUAGAUUUCUAUCCUUAUCAAGGAAAUAGUACAUAUGUUCGUUCAGCGAUUUUGAAUCCUCCAAGUCUUUUCCUAAAAAAAAAGACGAGUGACAAGUUGCCGGAAUACUCGCCACUCGCUAGUAGCGGUGUAGUCGACACUCGAUCUUUAAGGACGAGUAUCUUCGACAAAGAUAAGUAAUGACUCGUUGGAGUUUAAUUCCUUUAGUAAAAGUCUCUGGCACCGACGUACAAGAAGCACAGUCAGGUACAGGAUGGGGUAGAUAUCACAAUUUACGACUCCGAUAAGGAUCCAGUAGGCCAACAUUGUUUACAAAAUGUGUUACGCCAUAAUCUCGGCCCAGGAUUCGGAGCGUCAGGACAUUCCAGUACCCAAACUAAGGGCUGUUGACUUAAAAAAGCCAAGUUAGUGAUAGAGGACGUAAAGAUAAACACAGUGUACGUUUAUCGCUGUACAAUCUUCGUCACAAUAAGAUAGGAGUUCAAUAAGGUAUAGGUUAACUAGAAAGUUUUUCUGUAUUCGUAAAGGUAGUAUUAAUUAUCGUUUUCAAAGUAUUUUUAUUGUCAUUUUUGUGCGGUAACCUUUUAAGGGUAUAAAACAAAUUCUUUCAAUUAGUAGUAAUUUUUUCUUGAUCAUGGGCAGCGUCAUUCGUAGGUUGUUUUUUACUUCUCUUGAAGUAAAAAGGCCUUUAAGGCUAAGAACUACAUCCGUCCGUAGCGUCAACUCACCUCGCCACUCUCAUCCCCCUAGCGGGCACUCUGAAUGAGCAUCUCAGACAACAAAGAGCAGUAAACUCCCCUGCACUUCCUCUCGGAGGUAUUAAUCAUAGAGGGUCAGUACCACGGCGUCUUUACUUUUAUUAGGUAGGAGACGUAGUGCUUCAAUUCUUCUCUAUAAAGGUAGUAAGCUCGUUAGAGUUAGUUUUAACCACUAUCGAAGACCCCUUGUAUAAAACAUGGAACCAUUUUGUAUUUCACAAAUAAAUUUGUUACUUUUCAAAAUACGAUCUAGAAGACUUAAUUGACGGCAUACUUCAAGGAUUUAGGACAUAUCUCCGAUCAUAUAAUCGGGAUUAUUACAGUUAAAGUAUCUUAACACUUCACUUUCUCUUUUCUUGUUGGAGGUGAAGCUUACCGGAAGUUAACUUUUUACGGUCUAGGAACACCUGGUCUUUGACCUUUACACGUUCUCUGACUAAAGGAAGCUACCCGCUGACGUUCUCUACGUAGUAUGGUACCAGGAGAUCGUUAGCCGUGGGGUUAUCGGAGAUGAUAAAAAACUAAAACUGAUCGGAAAAGUUAACGGAAUGACCUUAGUCGAGUUAAACUUUAUCUUUCUUCACUCACAAGAUUAGUAAAUUUUCUGGUGUGAUGGAAACAGUAGUCUUAGUUAGAAAAUUUCGUUAUUAUAGUUUACUACACGUGUCGUAUUGUCACCUCUACUAACACAAGAGGUUUUGGCUUCUGUUUUUUCUUAUCAAUUUCUUCGUAAAAUAUGAUCGAAAAAUUCAAAUCAUUUUAUUACAUUUACUCUACGAUAUUCCUUGGAUAUAUCUCGGAGUACUUCCUGAAUCGGGUGACGUUUGUAGUUUAAUCAGUUACACCGUAGUGUAACGUGUGCUUUCUUUUAAAGGACUAUGUGAGUAUAUGGCUCUAAACGGUUAAACAACUUUGUUUACAAAGGGAAUACCUUUCGGUCACUAUUAAACCGGAAGAUUAGGUACGGAUGUACUCCCAACAAAAUGUUUGAUGACCCGUUCAAUCCCCCAAUAUGUUCGAUGCAUUUAACGAACAGUGUGUGCGUGUACGGUUAAAGUCAGAAUUGUACAGAUAAAAUGGAAUAAUAGUUUGUCCAAUCCAAGUUCACUGAGUACAAAAUUUUACACAACGUUGUUGGAGAUAUACUAGAAUUUUUAAUAAAAGGUGGCUUAGGAAACAUGUUUCCUGUUGAUGAAAGACUCACGAUGAAAUCAGAUUUAGUCGUUUAUACGUCAAUUCAUGGUGUGUUCCUUUAUGUUCGCGGCGUGAACAACGCUUCGUUUCUCGAAGAACAAGUAAUCGUGGUUUCCAAUGUACUUUCCUAGUCUUCGGCAACGCAGUUAAAGUCCUAUUUAUGGUUCUUGUAAUUACGAUCGUUUUAGCCAAAGGCACGUGUACCCUUGCGGCUUUAUUACCUACUAGAGGUUGGUUAGAGGUGAUAACUCCAAAGUGAGGCUCAUUGUAUAUAUGGAUGAGAUAUGUUUCAUCUUUAGUUUUCUUUGCGGUACUAAGGUGUGAGGUGAAGUUCACCUGGGAGUAAUUUCAUAGCCUUCUCGUGUUGGUGGCUGAGGUGGUAGAAUUUAGUGUUUUCCUCUUCUUUUUCGUCCCGUUUCCCUUUGUUUUGGACGAUGUAGGUACUUUCUACCGCUCCAGUAAUUACCGCGAAUCCCGUUUGGGAGGCCGCUCCGAUUAUUCGGGCUAGACCUCGUGGGAGGCUGGGUUUAUAGCGCAGGCCAACGACGAAUGAGACCGAACGAGGCUCCAUCUCCUUUUCAUUGACUCGCUUCACUGGUAGUAGCAAUCCAGUGCCUUAACUCUAAAUCUCGCUUUUCGCGUCUUCUUCUUCUUCUUCUUCUUCUUCUUCUCCUCCUCCUCAUCACCCUCUCUACUGACUACUCUCUCUCUCCAGCUAAUCGCAAUGGCUUCCCUAACCACCUCGAGCUUUUUGGGAUCUCCCCAGCCUCUGCUUCUCGAGAAGCGAUCCUGGUCUCUGCGCUCGAAGCAGGAGUUGUAGAGAGGGGAAGCGAAAGAGGAAAGAGGAGAGGUCGCAAACACGCUGAGCACACAAUUGUCCGGGCAAUAAGUUAUUGCCCGGCCCAGCCUGGGCGGGGCAAACGAUGUCAUGUGUUCGGCAUGAUCGGAUGAUCCGGGAAAUUGUCCGGUAUGUACUAUCCCGAUUGGAAUACCCGGCAAGACCCUCAACCUAACUCGGCAUUUUUUCACAAUAAUCUUACUAUAGGUAUUUGAUGGCUGGCAGGAGUCUCGUUCACCUUUUCUUAAACCACCAAUCAUAGGCUCUAGGUUCAACCUUAGGAUCAACUAAAUUUAAAGAUCGAUUUAAAUAAAAAUUUACUUUAUUUGCUUCGCCCAUCGCACGAUGGAUAGUGAGUUUCUUUUCUUACUAUAGAUAUUUGAUUUGUUCAGAACAUAGAAUCAACAAAAUAGUGCUUUGCUUAGUUUAACAUUGGAUGUAAGAGUGGAGCAUAUGAGGUGAAACCUCAGUGUAAUAAGUUAGUUGAAGGGCUAGAUUAUCUAUUUCUGAGAUCCUUAGAGAUUAAUUGUCGAAGUUGAAUGACGAUUUGGGGCACAAGUCUGCACUUACAUAGAAGAAUUUUGGUUUUUUUCCCUUUUUUUAAUUCUCGAAGUUCACCGAAGCAUCUACCGUGUAGGGUGUCGAAACGUUCUCCUCGUGCGUUGUUAAGGUUUCAAAGUAGAGUUCAUUGGUUAAACCGAAUAAAUUUAGUGUUUUUAAUGUGUUCUCUAACUUGGUAGUUAUUGUAUACUCGUGUGGGGAAUUAAAAAUUUUUGACCGUGUCGUCUUUUUUCUUACAGUGUUUUUGAUUUACCCUGAAGGUUUGGGUAAAGAGGGGUCUUGUGUGGGUCUUAAUAAUAAUAAUAAUAAUAAUAAUAAUAAUAUAGACAAUAAAAAUAAUCAUCAUCAUCAUAAAAAUGAGAGGAGUAAACCUGGGUUAGAGAAGUAGUUUAGGAGCAUGAGAAGGAAGAGGUGUUCGCGGCGUGGGUGAGACGGGGAGGUGUAGACGCGCCGAAAGCGCUCGAGUUAGAGGCGGAGGAAUUAGUCGCUCAAGUUCAGGUUCAGGUUUGAGUCCAGGUUCGAGUUCGAGUUUGAGGGGAGGUGGGGGAAGGAGUUUUGGAGGUGCAGGAGUAGGUCCAGUAGAGGGGGAGAGGUCGUGAAGAGAAGCUCAUAGGCGUCCUUGAGCAGGAGGUGGAAGAGGCGCAGCUUAAGGAGCCGCUAGAGGUAGUCUUCCGUGCCGAAGAGCAGCGGCAGCCGCGGCUACGAAAGCCGCAGCUUCGACAGCCUCCCCCCGGCGGCGCUGCUGUGCCACGGAAAGAGCUAACACUACUUCAGCGGCAGCAGAAGCGGCAGCAGCCAGCCGUCACACCUCAACGGCUGCUAGCUCAAGCUCAAGAGCUAGCACUACUUCGGGGCCAGCCUGGCCUAACUUGACCGGACGGCUCGGCUCGGUCAGCGGCCGGCUCAAGCCUCCGUCGAGUCUAGUCCAUCCGUCCUCUUCGUUGGCGAGAACAAUGCGAAAGAAAGGGGACGCAGAUGUAUAGCAAUUUCAUCAAUCCAUAUUUACGUGCCUCUGGGGAGUUGAUGACACGCAAAACUUUACCCGGGGAAGUUGAUUAUUAAAAUGAUAAACUCCCUAGAAUUAGUUAGUUUAGCUUUUAAAAUGAUUUAAAAUGACACUAAGGUGUUUACUUCCACGUUAUUAUUUAUUGAAUUAAUAAGUUUAAAGAAGUAAAUUGACCAAUACCACCCCCUAGACAAAGUUGUACCCAGAAUAAUGCAGAAAAUAGUUAUAUCAAAGCUUUAACCUUGAUAGUGUUUGCAGAACACGUGUAUGGAUACGAGAGCGAUAAGAGAAGGAGCUAGUAGGCUGUUAUGUGCGAAUCCCAAUCCCAAGGGGGCGAGCGCUAGGGCGGCUCCUGCUCCGAGCAGCAAAAGGGCGGUUUGAACCCUAAGUUUAAGGGUUGCCAGCGCUCGAGCGGCUCUAGGUGCACCUUGCAGGGGUCUAGCGUUAGGCGCCGCAGCUGCUCGCUGUGGGUGUGCCGCUUCGAGGCGUCCUAGCGCGCGAGCAGCGAAGAUCUUAUCACAUCUUUCUAGAGCAGCUUGCGCCGCCGCGGGGCCCUGUGCACAUGCCGGGCGCACACGAGGGGGGCCGUGGGGAAGCAGGAGGUGGGGUGCUAGUGCGGGGCGGGGAGGUAGCGGCCCCUGUACGGGCACUAGACCACGUGGACGUCCGUGUGGUGCGUGGCGCAGGCGGCGCGCGCCUACGGGCGGUGCACAGGCUGGUCGAAGGAGAAGGUUACCUUGUUGUGUAAAAACCUCCUCGAGAACAAGGGCCCUAGAAGAUCUUCGGCCCGAGACACAACCUGGAACAGGUAAUAACGCACACACGCACUCUCUCUCUCUCCUAACUCUAAUUCACCCAACUUCUCCUCAUUUAUUCACAAAAAUUCUCUCACCACUCCACCUCUACUAGUAGUAAACUCACUGUACCACACAAAGUUUUAAUUCACUACCCACAAUCUCUUCCCUUUCUCAACGUAACCAACCGUCCCUUAUUACUAAACCUUUCUCCUUAAUUCGUUUCGUCAAUCUCAUCCAAAUCAACAAAUUAGAAUCGUGUACUAAUUAAUUCUCCCCGUUCGAAAUUUCUCUUCCCUAAAAUAUUUCUAGUGAUUUUCCCUUAUUAGUGUACACUACAUCUUUCCUCCUUCCUAUUUGUCGUGACAACCAACGAUUUGUAUAGCGUCUCAAAGUGAGUUCCAUGACCUGAAGUUAACCGAUAUUAACUAGAGUUAGUAUUUUAAACAACGUUAAUUAAUCGUGUACGUAAUUGUUUGUCACAAAAAGUAAAGAUAGUUCAAUAACAGAAUUUAAAAUUAAUUAUUNCUCGAAAUUAGGCUCGCUCGAGCUCGGCUCGAAUUAAUUUCAAGCCGAGCUUGAGCCUAGAUUUAGGCUCGAAAUUAAUUUCAAGCCGAAUUUGAGCUGACAUAAGCUCGCUCGAGCUCGGCUCAUUUCCACCCCUAUUCAGAAGUGGUGGAGGACAAAACAAGCCAACUAAGCAGCUCUUCGUUUUCUGCUUUGUUUUCUGCGUGUAAAGAGACAGCAUUAUUGGAUUUUCAAUAGAUUCUCUGUUCAUUUUUUUCUUUUUUAACUAAGAUAUAGAAUUUGCAGUCGAUUUGAAGAAUAUAUGCUUCACCUGAAAGGGACAGUGAGUGCUCAGUAGAAUGUAAGAUUUAAGUAACUCAGAUAAUUUACAAUCAAACACCAUUUAAAUUGGGGAUAGUUAGCAUGCAUUUACAUUCCUACCAAAUUUGAAUUUUCGCAUUUUUUCCUCAAUGUUUGCAAUUUUAUUUCUCCGAGUCGAGUAAUGUUCGUCCACAUGCACUAAUUUUUUACCGUUAAGAUUAUUCUGUUUUUUAAGAGUUUGUAGUCUUGGAAUUUUUUCAAUUGACGCAAAGUUUUAAAAAUUAGAGAGAUAUAUUUAAUCAGGUACCAUGUAAUAAAUAUAUAAUUUUAUAGAUACUAUUAUACUUUUAUUAUCAAAAAAAAGAAAGUUUUUUUAAGGGGAAAAAGAUAAAGAAGCUGAAUAAAAAAUAGGAGUGCUUGUGAAUUUACAGCUCACACGCGCUCCCGAGUUAAUGAGUCUUUGGUCAAACUCUCGGACCAUUGACUCAUUCCACAACGAGAACACUACGAGCACGAUAUAUGGUUUUUCUUUUUUUUCCUGCCGAAAAAAGACAACGAAAUUUCUAAGUUAAAGAGGUCAAAAGCAAUUUAAAAAAAAAUUGUAGAUCAACAUCCGUGUAUGUAUUCGUGUAAAACGGAAAUGUCGCUAAAGAAGAUCAAGAGAGAGUUUUAAGUUGUAAAUGCGAAAUGUAAUGUAGUAAUAAAGGUUUCAUAUUUAGCAUCUCUUGGUGGUUCGACGAGUAAUUCGAUCAAAAAGUUUCAACAAGAUUUUGUUCAAUUUCUUUUUAACGUAGAAUAGGUAAAGUGAUAAUGAUUAGUAAAUACGAAUUGGUUAGAUACUCAGCAUGUCAAUAUUUAGAAUAUUAAGAGCAAAUUAAUAAUUUGUGAGUAGAGCGAGGAACUUGUAAAUUAGAGGAGCAGUAUAGUGGGCUUCAUGGCCCAUGGCACAAUGGGCCAGCCCAAGGCCCAGUAGAAUCUUUCUUUUUGGGCCUUUCUGAAGGAUAGUUAAAGCUCAAUUUGGUCAAAGUGCGUAAAUGGAACUGAAAGGCUCUUCAGCUGAGUUCUGUUUGAAAUUAAGAAGAGGACUAUGAAUUAGGGGUGUCAACGAGCCGAACACGAGCGAGCUGGUCUGGCUCGUGUUUGACUUAUUUUAUAAAUGAGCCGAUUCGGUUCAUUAAAAUAUCGAGCCGAAAAAUUCAACUCGCGUUCAGCUCAUUUAUUAAUGAGCCGUACAAGAACCGGCUUACGGACAAUGAGUUAAAACAAUUAGAAAGGAUAUAUAUAGAAAAUAAAUUUGUGAGAUCUUACUCAUUAGAUUUUGAUCUAAUGGUUGAAAUUUUACAAACAGAUGGGCUUUUUUAUAUUUGAGUUGGACUAAAAAUCAAAGAAUAAAAAUAUGUAUUAUAUUUAUAUAUAAAUAUUAAAUAUUUAUAUAAAUAUAAAAAUAUAUAUAUAUCCAAGCUGUUAUCGAGCCGAACACAAACGAACUGACCCCAGGUCUUAGCUUGUUUAUUAAACGAGCUGAAAAACUCAGCUUGCUUAGUCAAUUUGAUCUCGAGCUCAUUUCGAACCAAACACGAACCGGCUCGAAAACAGCGAGCUAGAUUAUCCCCCAACUAGGAACGAAGUGGACUAUAGUAGAUUUGAAACAUCCUUUUUAAUCUAUAUUUGGCUCAAAUGUGUUAGAAACGGCAUUUCUAUUUUAGAAAAAUUGAUAAUUUUUAAGCCAAAUCAAAUGUGAAAUCAUUCAAUGAAACUUCUUCCUCUACCGCCACCAACACCACAUCGUUUGCUAAUCGCCGUGAUGUCACGUAACCACCUUUAGUGUUUGCACUACAAUUCCAUCUUCUUCUUGUUUGCAUCAACAUGACCACACUAACGACUACCACAGUUGUCGCAACUUAUCGCCAUAGUUCUCUAUAUGAUCUUCUACGAAUAUUGUUAGUGUAGUAAUCUGUACAAUGUAAAAGAAAAAAAAAAAAACGAUGAAAGAAGCAACAAUAACGAAUGAGAUUCAAUUUGUCGAUAAAGAAAUGUAACAGCUAAAGAAAGUGCAAAAAAAAUUCGGUUUGAUUCAAAUAAAAAAAUAUAUAUUUAUAUGGAGAACUUGAGCUGAUUAAGAGGAACCCAUACUCAACAAUGAUUAGUUUGGUUCAAGCAAAAAAUGAGAAAAAUUCGGUUCAAUUUAAGCAAAGAAAAAAAAAAUAUACGGAUGAUUUGAAUUGUUUUGGGAUGGAACCCACAUCCAACAACGAAAAAAAUAUUACCCUAUGACAAAUUUUAUAUAUAUAUAUAGAGAGAGAGAGAGAGAGAGUUGACAAAUUAUAUAAAUAUUAUCAUGAAGGUGGUGCUUUUGAGUUUUUAGCCAUUGAAUGAUGAGAUGUGAGGUUGAGAUGAUGGUGGUAGGUGGAAUAGUGUUUGAUCCAAAGACUAUUAGCAAUCAAGGAGUAGAUCCAAGGGCUAGAAAUUUAGAAGUACCAAGGGAUUGGUACUUCUAAAAGUAUUCUAGCUGUGCUCUUACAAGCACCAAGCACUUUGUGCUUGUAAAUUUUUUACCGUUAUAUCUAUGCCUUUGAUCAUUUUUAUCCGUUAGAUUAUACUAUUCAACCAACCACCCACUCAACCCUAGGGGGCCCACAUCAUCCUAACCGCACAUUCCUUAAUUCAAGGGUCAAAAACUUACAAGCACCAAGUGCUUAGUACUUUUAUAAGCAGCAUAGCUGGACUAUAUAUAUAUAUAUAUAUAUAUAUAUAUAUAUAUAUAUUCGUAUGAUUCAUCAUAAAUGCAAAAACUCUCAAAAGAUAAUCAGAUUAUAAAAAAAAAAAAAAAAAAAGAAAAACUGGUGAGGUUACCUGUUGGCCAGCUUGGCUGAAGUGUCAAAGCAAUAAUGCCAGGAAUACAUAAUUUUAAUGGUGACAACCAAGCAAGAUAAAAUAGAUGGUGAGCAGCAGUGACCACUGUAAGCCAUUUUUAGGCCAUUUUGGUCCCUGGCAACGAACUUAGUCCCACUCCUCUUUAAUUGUUGGACUCUUCUUAGUUCCCCCACACCCCACACGCCAGUAGAUCCAAAUCCACACCUAAAUCCAAUCCUCCUAUAUCCACUCAUUAAAAAAAUUAUUUCUAAACAUAAAGUCAAUGAGAAAAAUAUGUCAGAUUCUUAUUGAACUCUGACAUGUAAUUUAUCUUCUUCAAUAUACCACGUAUUGUACUUUUAAUUUGAUACAAAAUAUACAUAUUUAAUUUUCCUGAAAAUUUAUGCUGUUAGCACAUAAGUACUUCUCGGAUAAAAAUAACAUACACUUAACUCUUCACGAGGAAGAAAAAAGAGUAGAAAAAUACGGAAGUGCAUUUGGUUAUUUCAUUAUUUUUUAACAUCGUAAUCUGAUAAAAUAUUUUUGACCUUUUGAAUAGGGUUAAAUACAUAUUUCUUGAUACUACCUAUAUCUAAGAAAAAAUUUAAAAUAUUUAGAUUUUUUUUGUGAUUUUAUUCUUCUUGUUUCACACGAUAUCAAAGCAAAGAGUUUUGAGUUCGAAUUCUAUAAAACUUCUAGUAUAAUUAAUAUUUUUUUUAGAUUAAAUUUAUUUAUUAAAUAGAUUUAAAAAUAUUAAAUUUAAAUAAAAAUUUAAUAUAAAAUAUUAAAAAAUAUCAUCCUGAAGCAACUAGUAUUUUGCGCUUCUCCUCCUAUAUUCCUGAGCGGAGCAUUCCUAAGGUUUCAUUUGGAAUUGCGGAAAGAUUGUGUUACGUGCGGUGGAAAAGUACAGUGAAAAAAUAUCAUGUUUGUUUUCGUGCGUAAUAUUGCGUUUCGCAUAUCGCGAUUAGUCGGUUACCAUAUAUUUUCUACGGUCUCACCGAAAAAUACAGAAACAUAUUCCUAUAUACUUUUUUUUCAAUUUUAUUUUAUCUAAUAAUAUUUGAUAGGUCUCAGAUUCUUAUUGAACUCUGACAUGUAAUUUAUCUUCUUCAAUAUACCACGUAUUGUACUUUUAAUUUGAUACAAAAUAUACAUAUUUAAUUUUCCUGAAAAUUUAUGCUGUUAGCACAUAAGUACUUCUCGGAUAAAAAUAACAUACACUUAACUCUUCACGAGGAAGAAAAAAGAGUAGAAAAAUACGGAAGUGCAUUUGGUUAUUUCAUUAUUUUUUAACAUCGUAAUCUGAUAAAAUAUUUUUGACCUUUUGAAUAGGGUUAAAUACAUAUUUCUUAAUUCUCACCGAUAUCUAAGAAAAAUUUUAAAAUAUUUAGAUUUUUUUUUGUGAUUUUAUUCUCCUCGUUUCACAUGAUAUCAACGCAAAGAGUUUUGAGUUCGAAUUUUAUAAAACUUCUAGUAUAAUUAACAUUUUUUUUAGAUUAAAUUUAUUUAUUAAAUAGAUUUAAAAAUAUUAAAUUUAAAUAAAAAUUUAAUAUAAAAUAUUAAAAAAUAUCAUCCUGAAACAACUAGUAUUUUGCGCUUCUCCUCCUAUAUUCCUGAGCGGAGCAUGCCUAAGGUUUCGUUUGGGAUUGCGGAGAGAUUGCGUUACGUGCGGUGGGAAAGUACGUUGGAAAAAUAUCUUAUUUAUUUUCGUGCGUAAUAUUACGUUCCGCAUAUUGCGAUUAGUCGGUUACCAUAUAUUUUCUACGAUUUUAUCGGAGAACGCCGAAAUAUAUUUCUAUAUAUUUUUUUCACAACUUUAUUUUAUCUAAUAGUAUUUGAUACUCUUGAUGCCAAACAAAGCCUAAGGCAUAGAUUAAGCACUAGUCCUAUUGCAUGGGGCUCCAUUAUUCUAAGCUUUUUUUCUUCGUCUCGGCGCAAGUAAACAAAGCAAGCGCGAGGUCAAACGCCCAUGAGGUAGAGAGAGAGAGAGAGAGAGAGGGCAUGGGCGGAGGAGAGAGAAAGCUCUUCCCCUUUUCUGAGACGUGGGGUCAUCGUGACGGUGGGUUCUAUGGAUUACGACGCAUUAAAUUAGCUAUUCCGAUAGGAGAUCGGGGUAAGAUCUUGAUGGGCUCCCGCUUCGUAGAAGUUGGAGCUUCUCUUGUUCCGUUCCCUUCUUCGAUCGCAUCGAAUCGCCUCUUCGGUGAGUUGUUUCUCAGAUUUCUCUCUUUUGAUCGCCUUUUUUGAUGGAUUUUGGUGAGGGGUAUGCGAAAAGACGAGGUUUUGGGAGCAACCCGUGUGUAAAUAGUCGUAGCUUUUUGGGUAUUUGUUUGUGGGGAUGUGUAAAGGCUAGGGUUUUGGAUCUCCUUGAUUCGUGUUAGUAGAUCUGUUUUGGGAGUUCUUCGUGGCUUUGUUUUGAUCCAAAAAUAAUCCUUUUUGUAUGCUUGGAGUUCAGAUUCUGAAUUGGGAAUUAAUUUAUACUCUUGAUUUAGCUUUUCCAGCUUAGUAUGUUAGUUAGAUUCUGUAUGAGCUUCUCUAAUGCUUGCUUUUUUGACUUAAUUUGUGUCUUUGCACAGAGUAGAACUUGUGGUUUCACAUCUGAGAAAGAAAAGAGAGAGAGCUCUUUGAAUGGAUCCAACAAAUAGGAGACCAGUUUAUGAAAAUUCGUCCAAUAUGGUUGACCCAUCUGGAAAUUUCAACCCAAAUCAGCUUUACUCCCAAUUUGAUUCAGGAAAUUUAUGCUUUGAUUCGAGAAUGAAACAACCCCUUCUCGAAUUUCCCGCUUCAUUCGACAACCCAACCAUUCAGCGAAUCGAAUCUGCUCCUUUUGUUAACAACCAGGCCAUGAAUUGGGAUCCAAGGGCAAUGCUUACCAACCUCUCCUUCCUUGAGCAGAAGAUCCACCAGCUCCAAGAUUUGAUCCGUUCGAUCAUUACAGAUGAAGCCCAGUUCUCCGUCCAACCGAAUGAGCUCGCUGCACAGCAACAGCUCGUAACUGCGGAUUUAACUUGUAUCAUAAUUCAGCUGAUCUCCACUGCUGGAACACUUCUCCCCUCGGUGAAGAAUACCAUCGUUGCGAAUAGUCCGCCAAUUCAACAGUUGGCAAGCAUAAUUGGUUCAACCUCGAGUUCUGGUUCAAAUGGUGCUUCGCAUCAAAAUAAGGACUUCUCUUCAGAGGGACAAACUAAUAAAGAAUAUGAGGAUAUGCUCAGAGAUUUGAGUGAAAAUGGGAUUGAGGGCAUCGACCCGAUUCAGGUCGAAGAUCAAGAGGUCAAAGACAGCGAAGACGGGGGUGCAGAUGGAGAGAACCUUCCACCUGGAUCAUACGAAGUCUUACAACUGGAAAAAGAGGAGAUUUUAGCACCCCACACCCAUUUUUGUUCAAUCUGUGGGAAAGGGUUUAAACGUGAUGCGAAUCUAAGGAUGCAUAUGAGAGGCCACGGAGAUGAAUACAAGACCCCUGCGGCCCUUGCCAAGCCUACUAAAGAGGCAAGUUCUGAGCCGGUCCUUGUCAAGAGGUACUCAUGCCCGUUUAUUGGGUGCAAAAGGAAUAAGGAGCACAAGAAAUUCCACCCAUUGAAGACGAUUUUAUGUGUAAAAAACCAUUAUAAAAGGACCCACUGUGAUAAGAGAUAUACUUGCAGUAGAUGCAACACUAAGAAGUUUUCGGUGAUUGCCGAUCUCAAGACGCAUGAGAAGCACUGCGGCCGCGAUAAAUGGCUUUGCUCAUGCGGAACAACAUUUUCUAGAAAGGAUAAGCUUUUUGGGCAUGUGGCUCUUUUCCAAGGCCAUACACCGGCACUCCCUUCGGAGGAAACAAAAGUUAAAGAGAUCAAUAAAGUUGAGGGCGUGUCCACAAAAUCCGUCGAACACCAAGACGUUCUAGACAUUAAAGCUCUCGAUAAUGAUCGUGAAUACUUCUCUCCUAUGAACUUUGAUUCGUUCAACUUCGGAGGGCUUGAUGAAUUCCCAAGAACGGCCUUUGAUCCCUCGGAGAGUUCAUUCUUGUUCCUUCCUCCUGGAUCGUGUGGCUUCGAUCAAAAGAACGGAGAGAACUGAAUUCAGAUCAUUGUGGGUAACUGCGGUUCAUGGAAGAAGCACAGUUGUAGGUGUAUCUUAUCAGUUUAUUGUUUUUGCUAAAUUUUGCAGUUUUUCAGCUUUUGGUGUCAGGAGAACCUUAUGAUUUAUAUCUAGUUGGAGUUGGUCUUACUCUUAUAUAUUUGACAUUUAUUAUUAUUAAUAAAUGGCCAUGUUGACGUAUAAUCUGGUUGAAUUGUUCUACUCUGCAUGACAUUUUUCUGUUUCUCUUGAUAUAUUUUGCAAGUAUAGUAACAUUAUUGACAUUAUUGUACUAAGAACAGAUUAGCUAUUGUUAAAUUUGAUCAAAUUCAGUAAUCGAUGACUGGGUUCAAGUGCUCCCUCUCUCUGGUAAAGUUUGCUCCGCUAAUAUGACCCUCCUUACUCUCUCUCUCUCAAUAGUAAAGUUUGCUCUGUUAAUAUCACUAUACUACUGAAAUGGCUGACCUAAAUAUCGAUUUUAUUUCAAUUAUUCAGUAUCUUAUGGUGCCACGGAUUUAUGCGGAAUUUCUGGGUACUUCGAUAGUAAUCGGAAUUAUUUUACCUAUCUCACUGGGGACCAGACAGUGAGGCAAAAUUAUUAAAAAGUUCAAGACUCUCUCUCCCUUAUGGUCAAUGUAUAGCUGGAAUGUGAUUGAUAUGUGCAUCCUGAAUUUUAUAUUAGUCCCUUCCAUGGAAAAACUUGAUCUAAUUAGUUAUCAGAAUAUUAUUUUUCAUGUGUGAAUCAUUGCAUGAUUCCUUUAUUGAGAGUAUCUUUUUUUAAAAAAAUUGUUAUUUCCUGUUCAAAUUUGGCUCUUACGUCGCUUUAAGGGGUGCAUUUUAUCUUUCUAUGUUUCUAACUUGUAAUGAGCCAUGUAAGCGAGUUGGUCUAUAGUUAAACCAUUUCUUUUGAAUAGAGAUUAAAGCUGGCUUUGACAGUAUGGGGUUAAACCAUUUGAAAAUGCAUUAAAGAGAGAAUGUUAAGCAAAAUCUCACUGUAACUCCCCCUAAAUUCAGAAUUUGAUCUCUCAAAUCAGCAGAGAUAUAUAUUGAUCUAAAAUUUUGCAGAUUACUUGCGAGUAAUUUCAUCGAUAAAUUUGCAUGACUCAAAUCUGCAACAAAAAUUGGGUUAUAUUACACAAAAAGUGUAUAUUUAGUAGGGAAAUAUCGAUUCUUCUCAAGCAAUGUAUACGGAUGACGGGUGCUCGGUAAUAUUCCAUCUGGUAGUUCCAGUGCAAUUCAUGUGAAAAUGGUAUCAUAGAUAUACAACACUCAAUGGUACCAGAAAUUCUUUAGAUAUAAAGACUAAUAAGAAUGUCUUAAAUCAAUAACAAUUUUGUAAUCCUUUCAUCCACAACAAAAGGAGCCAUGUCAGUUCAUCAUUGAGCGCCAAAGUAUAUAUUUUCCAAAGAAAAACAGGUGGGAAAAAAUGAUCCAAGCUAUGAAUUAGGUUUUCAUGACAAAUCAACAAUUAGAGAUCAAUGCAUGCUGACAAACCAUAUGCUCAAGCAUCUCUGUGUGGUUCAACACAUGAGAUCAUCUGUAAUUUCACAACAUAUGCUUAAGCACGGCUGCGUACACUAUUUAGGUUGCAACACUGGAAUGAGAUGGGCAUGCUAGUAUCAAGUAUUCUAAGAAACUGUUUAAAGCUAGAAUCAACACUGGAAUGAGAUGGCCAUGCUAGUAUCAACACUGGAAUGAGAUGGCCAUGCUAGUAUCAAAUAUUCUAAGAAACUGUUUAAAGGUAGAUGUCCUUGUGAGGAAUCACAAAUACAUGCUACUUGACCGAGUUGGUCUGUCCGUAAUGAGAAUUAUGUAGCAGUAUGAGUUUUAAUCCUCUGACAGCCUCAUCAGUCUUCGCCGUCUUUCUGACAUUAGGGCACAUAUUAUAGUAAUUCUUAAUCAGGCCAACCUCAUCCGAGCAAGACCAAGUCGAUCCUCUCGGGCAGCUGUCAACCCACAUGAACCUCUUUGAAUAUGGGUUCAUGAGACUCUCACGAAAUUCCUUUGGUGAUUCACACAGUAAUCCCUGCACACAGCACAAAAAGACUACAGUCAUUCUUUUGCCACUCUAUCUGUUUCAAUGUACUCUAAGAAAGGUAAAAACAUGCCUCCCUUCGGUCGCUAAUUUAUAAGUAAUUAGCUAAGUAAUGACCUUUAAAUUCUGAUAGAAAAGUACUUAAAUCACAUAUAUUCUAAAGUUUAAUAAUAAUAUCAGAAUAUUGAAGUUCAGUUACCCAAUUCAAAAUGGCUAUACAUCAGGCGAGGUCUGUAUAGUAUUACUGAACAACAAUAAGGCAUACUAUUACCUCUGCCAUGGCUUUGAUUUUGAGAGUCGUGCUGCUAGAAAGAAUGAUAAGUUGUCCAUCUUUCCUAAUUUCCUUGAACAGGAGAGCACAAUCUAGAAUGUGAUCCUCAGCUGUUGGAGAAACAAUAUCCAUGAAAUUUCCAUAUCUUGAGAAAGGCAUGGAGCUAAAGAUCUUAGUCCCGAGUUCAUUAUUUCCAUCAAUGAAUUGCGAAGUUGGUGUUAUAGGAGGAGUUGGCGCCGCUGGUUUAGUCUCUAGAGAGCUUUGGACAUGAAGCCACCAACUUGUAUUUUCCAUACAUUCUUCAAUCCAUUGUAGUGCUGAAGAAGCCUUUGAAGAUGGCCUUCUAAAGAAGCUUUCAUGCCGCUUCAUGCAGUCAAGUUCCCUUAUGACUGAAGCAGAAGGAAAUAAAAACUAACAAUUUGCUGAGAAUAGUUGUAACUUGGUGGUGGUUACAGAUAAGAAAAUUCGACUUACCAAUCCUAGGUAUGAUGAGGUGAGUCCCCUUUAGGCCUUCCAAUAACUUUAGGGACCUUCUCAAUUCUUCGUCGAGGAAACAGCUCGUGUCAACCACCAUAUUCCAUACUUUCUUAUCUUCUUCAGACUUAUGGGGAACUUGGCUUUUGAAUUGGAUCUGCAAAGAAUAGAUAACUCUACUUGACAUUCCCAAAUAAAAUAAAAGAGUUAUAAGUAGAAUGUUUUAUUAAAGAACUUACAGGAAAGUUGUUGUAUUCAUCUUCUAAACUGUGAACAUAGUUGACAUUACUGUGGUUCCAAUUACUCACAUCCCCUUGUGCAGUAUCAGCAAAAUUACUUUUUCUUAAAGGAGAGCUCUCUAGUAUAGGCUCCGAAUUGCUCUUUCUCAAAGGAGAGUUCUCAUACAAAGGCUCGAAAGGAAUCCUCUCCACCUUUUUAUUCAUAUUCUCUCUUUCAAUAUCAGCAGAAAUGCUCUUUCUUGAGGGAGAGUUCUCGAGUAAAAUCUGGAAAGGAAUCCUCUCCUUCCUUCUAUUUGUAAUCUCCCUUUCGAUUCUAGCAUGGCUACUAGACAUUGGUUCCCUCGAUUUCUUCACUCCCGUGCUUACUGGAGCCAGAUUCUCUUUCCCUGAAUAAAACUCAUCAACUGUGUGCCUCUUUGAUUUCAUGUCUUUUUGGGGCUCUGGUGUCCAGUUCUCUUUAUCUGAAUGAAAAACAUCUUCUGCAGCAUUUGCAAAUAAUUUCUUUAUCCUUUUUUGCUCCUUCUUUAGUUUGUUGCUCGAAGAAAUCUGUGGUGUUAUAUUUUCCUUAUCGGAACCAAAUAGCACUUCCUCCCUUUGCACAGAAUUAUUUGAGAUCGAUUUAUCUGGCUUAUGCUCCUUAAAAACUUCAGGUGUUGAAUUCUCAUUAUCUGACCAGAGCUCAUCUUCCUCAGAAUUCAGAGUUGAAACAGUAAACUUCACAUCUGCAUUCUCCUCAUCCGAAGCAAAAGUUACUUCCUCUUCAUCUUCCUGGUCUUUCCCAUCUAAAUUGUCAAAUAAAACCCUACAAAUCUUUUCUUCGUUGUCGCAUUUUUCAUAAGUUGGUGAGUUCUCCUUCUCAUUUCCAACCUCCACCGCCUCGGAGUCAAAGCUCAAAUUUCCCAUUCUUUCUUUGCUCCUCCCCGUGUCGACUCGAAGGAACCCAACAGACUUAGACUUGCUCCUCCUCGACAAUAGGCUUGAUCUUUCCCGUUUAGCAGCCGGGUCGAGAUUAGAUUCCAUUUCCGGCGUUCGUUUCUCGACAUCCAUGAUCAAUGAAUUAACAGAUUCUAGCACUUGGGGAAAACAACAGAAGCUUAAGCUCUGAUCCACUAAUCCCUUUUCUGGGCUCUUCUCUUUGCCCUCCAACUUACACGGGGAUGAGAAAUUCAUGUGCUCCGGCAUCGGAGGCGCCGAAGGGACCUCUGAGACCCAUAACCCACUUUGAUCACUCAUCAUCUGCUGACCAAUCUCCUCCUGUAAUAAAUCAAAUGAUAAAAACAAAAGCAAAAAAAAAUGCUAAAAAAAAUCAUCAUAAAACAGAUUCAGAAAUGUGAUAAACAGGAGGGAUUAAUCCCAAGAAAAUGCCUGAUGGGUUUCUUCCUUCUCUUCCAUCAAUGGCGGCAGUGGGUUCUCCAUCUCGAAAGCGUCGCUCAACGAUAGCCACUGAAGCUUAUACUCUCUCGUCGAUGCGCCGAGCUUUACCGAAUCCCCUUCUACAAGCUCAACAGGAACAUUGGGCGGAAUCUUGUUCCCAGAAAUCCACGUCCCAUGAACUAAAUAUUUGGGCGCAAUCAAAGCCCCGAGAAAUUACCAAAAUUACUAACCAAAUAACCCCAAAGAAAACAAAUUUGAAAACAGUCGAAGAGAAAUUUAGAUAAAAAAAUCGGGGGUUGGGAGAUGCACCUGAGGAUCGAUCGGUGAUGGUGAGCUUUCGAAUCGAGGGUUUCGCGCGGAUCUCGAGAUGGAAACGGCUUAUGCUGGGGUGGUCGAGGACGAUGUGGCAAUCGGGGUGGCGACCGAUGAGGAUCGGCUCCUCCUCUUCUGCAGCGGAGGCGUCGCCGCGUUCGUAGGGUUCCUCCAUGGGCUCGCUUUGGGGUGGGGGAGCGUUGAGGAAGAUGUUCUUGAGGACGAUGCCCCUCUUGAGGACGGAGAGGACGGGGAUCUUGGGAUCGUUCUCCUCGGAGCUCUCCUUCGCCAUGGCCAUCUCAGAGAGAGACAAAGAGAGCGAGAGAGCGAGAGAGAGAGAGAGAGGAGGGAGAUGAUCGAGGGGUUUGGGAGGUGGUGGAAAUGGAGGAGAAAGAGGUGCUGUUGAUUUGGGGAUUUUGAAGUUGGGGAUUUGUAAUCUGAGAUCAGGGUUUAAAGGAUUUUUUAAAAAAACGACCGUUGGUUCUCGAACGGCUACAUUUGAGGUACAGUAUAAAAGCGCGGAUAUGCAUUUUCAACGCCGGAUCCAACGUUUUUCUUAUAGAGCGUACUUAUGCUUGGUUUGGAAUUAUGGGAAAAAUUAAGUCACGGUUCACUUAGAGAGUAAGAUGAGAAAAUAUUUUAUUUAUUUUUAUACGUAGUAUAGUGUUUUAUAUAUCGCGAUGAGUUAAUUACGAUAUAUUUUUUACACCAUUUUAUUUAAUAAUAUCAAAUAGUUCUCAAUACCAAAUUAAGUUUUAUACACAGUCUUUGAAUUUAACAUAGCAUAGAUCUUUUAUAUUUUCGCUAACAUACUCUUUUUAAGUCAGCUUUUUAACACCGAUCGUUUUUAGAGUAAGAGGUAAAGGACUUAAUGAUUGGUAUUUGAGGUCCCAAGUUUGAAUCCUAAUUGAUUCACAUUUUCAGCUAAGUUUAUUUCUAAAUGAAAUAAACAAAACGGAUAGCAUAUGCUACCUUUUUCUCUCCAAAAAAUAAUAAUAAUAAAUCAGCUUUUUAGCUAAAUUUUCUUUUUUUAGGGAUAAUUUA